rnacentral:lncRNA from 1 species
AAGAAGAGGAGUUGGGAGCUUGAAUUGGGUAGUGUUUAGAGUUUAAUUACUUGUUUGGUAUGGCAUUCUAAAAACUUUUGAUCUGAUUUUUAAUGGCUUAAAGUCCUUAAUUGAUUGAAUUUUUUACAUUUGGAAAGUUAAGGUUCUUGAAUGAAUUUCAGGAAAUAAAAAUUUACUGUAAUUGUCAUGGGAAAUACUGUGAAAUUUAAGAGUAAAGUGAUUAAAUUAUUGUAGUUGAAGUAAAAAAAAAUGAUAAUUAAAUAGAGCUAGUGGUCGUCCAAUGAUGAGAGUCUUUCAAUCUUGUUUUAUGCUACUCUGUUAAUGCUUUAUACUUCAUGAUAUGAAUUGAUGAAUAAUGUAGGCAGUAGAACUAUUUUUUUCGAAUAUCUCUUUACAACUUCUUAAAUUUCAUGGAGAUGCCUGAUGAGGAAUGUAGUUGAUUGUUGGUCCUUAUUAGAUUUUGUAUGUAAUGGAGUUAUAAGACGUUAAUAAUUCAUUAAAGAUGUUAAAUCGGUAGCUAAAAUCCAUGAAAUUCAACAGGACUGUUACAAAAGGUGAGAUAUCUAAGACAAUAACAGUUCACGUCUAAGACAGUAACAUAUCAAACAGUAACAGUUGAUAUGUAAAACAAUAACAGAUCAGGUCUAAGAUAGUAACAGUUCAGGUCUAUGACAACAACAGAUCAAACAGUAACAGUUCAGAUCUAAGACAGUAACACUUCAGGUCUAAGAUAAUAACAGAUCAAACAAUAACAGUUCAGGUCUAAGAUAGUAACAGAUCAAACAGUAACAGUUCAGGUCUAAGACAGUAAUAGUUGAGGUUUAAGACAGUAACAGAUCAAACAGUAACAGUUGAGGUUUAAAAUAGUAACAGAUCAAACAAUAAUGGUUGAGGUCUAAGACAGUAACAGAUCAAACAGUAACAGUUGAGGUUUAAAACAGUAACAAAUCAGGUCUAAGACAGUAACAGAUCAAAUAGUAACGGUUGAGAUCUAAAACAGUAAUAGAUCAAACAGUAACGGUUCAAGUCUAAAACAGUAACAGUUAGACUUUCACGUGAAUACUAUAUGUAUGUGUGUGUGUGUGUGUGUGUGUGUGUGUAAUAACUGAGUCGUGCGAAUACUUGCACGUUGAGAUACUAACUCUGAAAAUAUACAUGAUAUGUGUAUGUAUGUUAUGAUGAAUAUGGAUUCUCUAUAACAUUCGGCUUGAAGGGAUUAUGACCAAAAACUUCCUUGUGAUUUAGGAGGAGCGACCAGGAUUGGAUCUUCUGUUGGGGGAGGUCAUGAGACUGGCGGAGCAAGUGCGUGAUUUUCCCUCCUCUUUGCACUUAUGCAAUUUAAAGUUUUUCUGGUGAAUGCAAUUACAAUAAAUGUCAUGUUCAAUGUAAAUAAAGUCUAGUGUAUUUAUAAGAUUAGCUUCGGCUAAUGACAUCCAUGAUAGGAUUGCUAGGAAAUGAAUUACAAGAUUAGCUUCUGCUAAUGGCAUCCGUAAUAGGAUUGCCGGGAGGUGAAUUACAAGAUUAGCUUUGGCUAAUGAUGUCCGUGUUGGGACACCCGAGAAUGAUUGAUAAGACUUGAAUUGUAAAGGGUAUCCGUGUUUGAAUGACCUGGGGGAAAUUGAUAAAUAUAAUUGUCUAAAAAUAUUCAGGUUGGACUGUGCAAAGUCACUUGGUUCAUGCAAGUAAAUAGGAGUAUUCAAAUUAAGAAUAUGCAAAUGAGUUUAAAUCAGAUUUAAAUGAUUUACAAGCAAAUUAUAAGUUGAUUGUUAGAAUUCCUAUGGAUUCGAUAGAAAAUUUAUACUUCAUUCGUAUACAUUACAUGAUCAUAUAUAUUUUUUUUAUUAACAUAAAGGUAUGCUUACUGGGUUGUUUGUGUAACAGGUCCAUCAAAUGUCUAGGGAGAUCAUUAGUUGAGGACUCCACUUUGUUAAGCUUAUGUAAAUAUUUAACUUAAGCAUAAUGAAAUUAACGCGAUUAUGCAGUAUGCUUUUGUGUAAACCUUGAUGUAUAUAUUAAAGUCUUAGCUUAGCAUGUAGUUCAUUAGUUAUCAUGUAAUUAACCUUUUUGAAAUGUUUAAGAAUACUUAUUAUGUUUUAAAUUCUCUCUUUACAUGUUAGUAUUUCCUUUUCUUUUAAAUUUUAUAAUAUAAUUUGUGGGCUAUGUUCAUAUUGAAUUUUAUAUAUAUUGUGGAUUGUAUGAGGUGUUGAAUAUUGAUGAUUGAAAUAAGGUCUGGAAUUAUGAAACCUUGUGAUGAUGAGUUGAUUGAGUAAAUUGAUAGUAGUCGAUAACUUGGAAUGUCCUAAAUACAAACGAACCUUUAUCGAAUUCUAUACAAAAAAUAAAAUACCCUCAAAUUAAGAGCGUAUGUUGAGAUUUUUUAGCGUUGAUCAAAUCAUACAGUCGGGUCUGUUACAGCACAUAUGAAGAAUCUUAUAAAAAGUCAGUAUUAAAAAAAAUCUAAUCUAUAUAAAAUUAAGAAAAAACCACAGAUGAAUAAUACCUACCUAAACAUAAACCAAAAAUUUAUUUGAAAAAAUAUACACAAAUAAUGCUUUAGUUUUAAAAAAAACUAAAAAAAUAAAAAAAAGAAUAUAUAUAUAUAUAAGGGCAAACAUGUCUGACCCACGUUUAAUUGAGUUUAACAAACAUGUCAAACCCACUUUACUUUGCACUUGGCUAACCAUCACGUCCACACACUCUGGACUUGGCGCCGGGCAAGUCUAGGCGCCAUGAGUCUGGCAAACAUGUCAUACCCACAUUUACUUAGGUCUAAAAACAUGCCUGACCCCCUUUUACUUGGGUCUAGCAAACGAGCCUGACUCACGUUUACUUGGGUCUGGUAAGCAUACUUUACCUAAGUUUACUUGGGUCUAAAAAUCAUAACUGAUUUACAUUUACCUAGGUUUGCCAAACUUAUUAGACCCACGUUACUUUGAAUAUGAUUGACCGUCAGGUCCACGCACUUUGGACAUGGCUAGCGCUAAGACCAGGUGCCUUAGGUUUGAAAACUUGCCUAACUCGCGUUACUUGAUUUGACAAUCACGUUUGACGACCCACGUUUACUUGGGUCUGGCAAUCAUACCAAACUCACAUUGCUUUGGACUUAGCUUACCACCAGGUCCAUGCAUUUUGGACGUGGCUGACACCAAGCUCGGGCGCCUUGGAUCUGACAAACAUGUUAGACCCAUUUCUUAUUUCGUCCUUAUACCUUUUAUAGAAGUUUUGUUUUUUUUUUUCAAUUUUAUCCUUCAAUUACAAUUUCUUAUAUGUUUUGUUUUUCAUUUUAGUUCUUAUUCUUUUAGUUUCAGUCAUCCUAAAUCCAUCCUUAUUUUUUUUUGGUGUUUCAAAAUCCAUCAUCUUUGUUUUGAUCUUUGAUAUUGGUCCUAUCUCUUUUGUGUGAUUUUAUUUAUUUACAAUUUAGCUCAUCAAUUCUAAUUUAUGUAUAUUAUAUUUUUCAAUUCAAUCAUUCUACCUUUGAUUUCUUUUUCUUUUCCCUUGGCUCUUUUUUCCAAAGUUCUUAUAGUUUUAAAUGUUACCCUUCAAAUCAAAUUUAUGAUUUUUUUUAAAUAAUAUUUUUUUUUCAAAUUUAUUAUUAAUAAUAAUAAUAAUAAUAAUAAUAAUUUUUAAUUUUACCCUUAAAUCAAAUUUAUGGUUUUUUUCAAUAGUAAUGACAUUUUUAAAAUUUAUUAAUAAUAAUGAAAAUAAUAAUAUUUAUAAAAUUAACAACAACAACAACAAUAAAAGUAGUACUAUAGUAAUAGUUAAUAGUAAUUAUGAUAGUGAUAAUAAUAAUAAUAAUAAUAAUAAUAAUAAUAAGUAAACAUGUAUGACUCAUGUUUACUUGGGUCUAGCAAACAUGCCAGACUCACUUUACUUUUGACCUGGUUGACCGCCAUAUCCACACACUCUUGACUUGGCGCAAGCCAAGUCCAGGUGCUUUGGGUCUGGAAAACAUGUCCGCCUCAUGUUUACUUAGGUCUGACAAACAUGUUAAACUCAUGUUCUGUGGGUCUGACUCGUUUCUUAUUUCAUCAUUAUUCCUUUUAUAGAAGUUUUGUGUUUUUUUUUUCAAUUUUGUCCUUCAAUUGUAAUUUCUUAUUUGUUCUGUUUUUUUUUUUUAUUUCAAUCCUCAUUCUUUUAAUUUCUUACUUUGUUUUUCUUCCUUUUUAGUUUCAGUCAUCUUAAAUCCAUCCCUAUUUUUUGUUGGUGUUUCAGAAUCCAUCGUCUUUGUUUUGAUUUUUUAUUUCGGUUCUUUUCUCUUUUGUGCGAGUUUUAUUUGCUUACAAUUUAGCCCUUCAAUUCUAAUUUGUGUAUAUUAUGUUUUUCAAUUCAGUUAUUCUACUUUUGAUUUCUUUUUUUUUUCUUUGCUCUUUUUUUCAAAAUUCUUAUAAUUUUUAAUUUUACCCUUCAAAUCAAUUUUUUUUUUCAAUAGUAAUAAUUUUUUUUUCAAAUUUAUUAAUAUAAUAAUAAUAAUAGAAAUAGUAAUAGUAAUAGUAAUGAAAAUAAAAAUAUUAUUAUUAUUAUUAUUAUUAUUAUUAUUAUUAUUAUUAUUACUACUACUACCCUUCAAAUGAAAUUUAUGGUUUUUUUUCAAUAGUAAUAACAUUUUUUUUCAGAUUUAUUAAUAAUUAUAUUAAUAAUAUUAGUAAUAAUGAAAAUAAAAAUAUUUAUAAUAUUAAUAAAAAUAAAAAUAAAAAUAACAACAAGAAUAGUAGUAGUAGUAGUAGUAGUAGUGAUUGUAAUAGCAAUGGUAAUAAUAACAAACAUGCUAGACCCAAGUUACUUGGGUCUGGCAAACAUGCUUGACCCAUUUUUUUGGGUUUGGUAAUUAUAUCUUACCCACGGGUUUUUGUAAUGGGCAGCAUAAUUUUCUAGGAGGAGAGAGGGAGGGACAGAAAAACCCCCAGUCGGAGCUUCUUCGUGGGCCGCCUUCGCACAAGCACCAUGCCAUUGUGCCUGGGGUGGCGAGGCGCAUCUAACCCCGCCCUGAAGGCGGUACUUAGUUCUUUUUUGGAGUCGCACGCGCCACCCAAAUGGUGCGGGCAGCGCUUGCUCAACAUGCUUCAACCAUUUCUGAACAUAAAUAAUAAUUUAUAUACAUACAAAUACCCAAUUACCCUUGAACCCACAUGAUAUUUACAAUAAAACCAUAUGAAAACUACGAAAACACCUCUACAUACAACUUUGUUUUUGUUGAAACUCAAUGGUAAUUUCAUAUUUGAACUAUUUCAAAAAAAGAAAAAGAUGGAGAAGCCCCUGAACACAUGUAUAUUUUCCUCCUCGGGGGCAUGAUUGUAUCUUCACUGUUUAUUUUUUUUUUUUGAAAUGACAAAGGAAGCCCCCAACCCAAAGGUUAAAAUUUGGUGCCCUUGAAAGGCAAAUCAAUAUUUGUACUAUAGCUUAAAAAACCUAAACAAACCAUUUUGUUCCUAAUAAUUCUUUCAAUGCCUAAUGUAUCCCAUAAAAAAAACAAUCCCACCCCCAACUACAUGCUUAGCAAAUCAAUAUUUGUACUAUAGCUUAAAAAACCUAAACAAACCAUUUUGUUCCUAAUAAUUCUUUCAAUGCCUAAUGUAUCCCAUGAAAAAAACAAUCCUACCCCCAACUACAUGCUUAGCAAGUUUCUUUGGCAAUGACAAUUUUAUCAUUACACUGCUACAAUCUACAUUAAUCUGUGUUUAAGUGAAUAGUUAAAGGAUGAACAGUUAUAAAUUAAGCUAUUUUAAUAUUUGUUGUAAUUAAUUUUUACUUUUAUAUGAACACAUGUCAGUUUCUAUUGGUCUCCAUUUUAAGAAAAAUAAAAAUGGAUGAAAAACUCAAAAACAAAGAAGCAAUAAGGAUUUUUGUCAAUUUCUUGAAUUAGUUGCCGAAGAAAAUUGUUUUUUUCUUUUUACAAGUUUUCGAUUCACACUAGAAAAAAAAUGUUUUAUUUUGAGAAGUCAAUAAAUAAAUAAAAUAUGCUUUAUUUGUUUUUUGUUAAUUCCUUAUUUUUGCUAUCACAAAAAUGAUUAGGAAAUGCUUAGUGAUCAUUUGAAUCUAUAGUCUGAUUUUUGCAUAAAAUUAUUUAUUUCUUAAGUCUUUUCUUUGACUUUUGAAAAUAAAAUAAAAACUAGCUAAAAAUAAUACAGCAUGAACAAAUAAAAACAUAUCUUAAAAAAAUUAAAAAUUGUAAAUUUUUUUAACAAAUCCAACAUAAUAAAUAAAGAAAAAUAGAGUUUCUACUAGUUCUUUUAGCUUUUUAUAAUAUAGUAAAAAGAACUUCCUACAUCAAUAAAAAACUCUCCAGAAAAAAUAUCCUCUAGGUGAUGCCACCUAAAACUCCAUAGGUUCUGAGUGGAUGAAGAUGGGAAAAAUUGAAGUGGAGGAUGGGGGCAUCCUCGUGGCGGAGAAGAAGGAGGGUCUUGCGAUGGAAAUAUAAAGCCCGCCCACGUAAGCCAUAGGAAUUGGCUAUUGUUGUCAGGAUCUUGGGUCACACAGUUCGACACACGACCUUAUGCACUGGACUGAAAUCUAAAACUAUCUGGAACAGAGCAAAGCCUUUUAAGGUUAUUGAUCCGAGGAAUGAGUUCUUUCUUGUCCAGUUUUCUACUAUAACUGCUUAUCUCUAUGCUCUAGUGGAUGGACCAUGGACAAUCCUUGGACCCAGCCAUGGGAUCAUAAUUUUCAAGCAUCAUUAGGACACGUUACAAGGGUGGUGUUUUGGGUGCAUUUUCCUUGCCUUACCAGUUGCUUGGUAACACGGUUACGAUUGAUUAUAAUACCCAGACCAAUCAGAAAGGGAAAUUUGCUCGUGUAAAGGUUGAUAUUGAUCUUGAAAAACCGACGGAAAAAAUUGAAGAUCUGGAUCAGAAAGUGUCUUAUGAUGAGGGGUUCCCACAAGUUUGUUACACUUAUGGUCAGGUUGGUCAUAAUAGCAUCCUUUGCCCUUUCAAAAUUCCUGAGAAAUCAACCAGUAAAGAUGAUGAUAAUGUUACUAGCGACCAUGGUUGCUCAGGGAAACCUUAUCCAAGUCAAGCUAAGUUUCAAAGAUAGAAGGCUAAAUUGGAUUAGUGCUGUGAUAUUCUAAUUUUGGAUUCCCCUAAAAUUAUUUUUUUCCUUAAAAAAACAAAAAGAAAAAAUAAAAAGAAAAAAAAGCAACAAAAAAAAAUAAAAAAAACUGGCAGCUUGACAAAAGCAGACUAAGAAGGGUUUCAAAUGCAUAGAGAAACCAAGAUGAAAUUUAGGACAAAAUUAAAAACGUAAUUGUACCCCAUUAUAUCCAAGGUUGAAAGACAAUGCAAAUUCAAUGUGAAAUUAAAUGAUUAUCGGAUGAAUUUAAUAAAAAUUAAGUUUAGACUUUUAAUAAGCAAAUUUGAUUUAAUCAUGAGCCUAAUUAAAGGUUUUAUUAAGUUAAAGAGUUAACUAGGGUCAGAUUAAAAGAAUUAACUAAGUGCAAUGACUUAAUUUGACUUUUAGUAGGUCAAAUUAAUUUUAUUAGGGACUUAAUUGGUGAAAAAUUAAGUUUGGAGAUCUAGUUUGGGCUUAAUUGAGAAAUUUUGAAUUUUAGAGAACUAAAUUUAAUUUUUUCAAGCUCAAUUGGAUGGAUUAGAUCAAGGAUAAAAUUGCAAGAAAUUAGAAGUUUAAAGAUCAAUUAAGGGUCAAAUUAAAGAAUUUCAAAAUCAAUGACAACUCUGUAAAAAGCGCAGAAAUUUGAGGGUCCAAUUAAAGAAGAGCAAAAAAUAAUAAUUUUUUUGAAAACACAGAUUGACCCGCGUUUCCAAAUGAAACCAAAGAGCAAGACAAGCUUUUUUCCUUAGCUACAAUGAACAAAUGAGAUCUAUUAUCUAACAUUAAAGGUCAAGAUCCCAUUAAUCCAUAAACCCAGAUGCACCCAUUUAUACUAUAAAAACUCCACAAAACCCCUACUAAGCAGUAUGGACAAAGAUUAAUAUUGCUAUAAAAACAAUGUCAUGAAUAGACCUCCUAACCAUGGCUACAACAACCCUUUCCUUAAUCUUUCCAGCCUGGAACAAACCCAAAAACAUCCCUCAAACCAACAACAACCCCUUCCACCCAUGACAACCAUCAUAUGACAGCCCUCAAACCUCCACAAAAUAACCCCGCAACAUACCUGAAACAACCCUGAAAUCAGCCUAAAAAUAGGCCACAAAACCACCUCCAAACAGCCAUGAAAACUCCAACCAAAACACCUUAAAACAGAUUCCAAACCAUACAACGCUUCAACCACCUCCAAACAGAAUUAAUAACUCAGAGUAAGUAAGAUACAAGUGAUUAAUUUUAGCUUUCCACACUGUAGAGAUAGUGAAUAAUUUGAGCUUAUACAAGUGAUUAACUUUAGCUUUCCACACUGUAGAGAUAGUGAUUAAUUUGAGCUUUCCACACUGUAGAGAUAUAUGCUCACAAACUAAAUUAUGAAGACUACACGUGAGCAAUAAGAACUUGAAAGAAAAUGAACGCUUUGAUAGAAAAUUCCUUCGCUCCUGAAGCUUGGUUGACAUGGUUGGCAUGUGUUCCCACAGAGUUUAAGCAGGAACAUACCUAACUGCUAAGAUUUCACAGAUCAAUGGAAACUAAUAAUAAAUUCAGAGUGAUAUCCAGAACAUCAGAAAACAAGCUCUACCAAAAUUAGUAAAUUUCAGAUGCUUACGAUCGGUUUCUCUAUUUAAGUGAUCAAAACCAUCAGAAAUCAAGUACUACCAGUAUGUCUGUGUUCAACUGCCAGCUGCAUGUGUGUCUCACAAUAAAAAGACUAACUAUUAUAUGCAUUGUUACAUAGAAUUAUGGCUCCAAAAUAUUGUUGAUGCAAUUUUUGACAGUGCAUAUGCCUGUACCCCUCAGGGAAUGCUUUAAUAAUUUUGUCACUGUUCACUGAUGAAAAGGAAUAUAUGUAACGCAAAGAAGUGGAGGAGGUAAAGGGAAAAACAUUGACAUUUUUAGAUGGUAAAACAAUUUCUUCUAAGUUUUUUAGUCUCAUAACAGAUAUGCACCAAGAUAAAAACCAAUAUAACUGUAAUUGCAAAAACUGAUUGUAAUCGCUGCAAUCUUUUGGAUCUUGAUUAUGUUGGUCCGCGAAUUACUUGAUCUGUGGUGGGGUUCAAGAGUUCCAAGAUAGAGGCUUAUUUAAUAUGGAGUGCAGAUUUUAUUGUUGAACAUUCUUAUAAAAUUGGACCCCAGGCCCAUAUAUUUGCAGCUCAAUAUACAUUCGUUAUCUAAUCCGAGGUUUAAGUGAUUUCAUGAAGGAGGCUUGGAGGAUAAUGGCUUUCUGAGUGCUAUAGAUGAAAAUUUCUUUUUUUUUUUUUUUUUUUUUUGGGACCAAACGACAAAAUUUUGGUCACAACAAUAUUAAAACAUGUUGUUUUAUUUAAAUAAAAUAGUUAGUACUGUUUUUGAGCUUUUGACCUAGGUUAUUAAUUUCAUUCUUUAAUCUUUUAAUUUAGUUAAUUAAGUUCUCAAUUAAAUUUUAAUUCUAAGAAUCAAUUUAAUUUCACCACUAUCAUGUUUCAAAAUGAUUCCCUGAAUUUAGCAUCCUUUUCAUUUUGCUUCUCGGUCUUGGAUAUUUUUAAUUUUAUCCUUAAUUGACUUUCAAACUUAUAAUUUCUUCAAUUUACCUUUAUUUUUAGUUGUAUUUGGUCCUCGAAUUCACAUGCCUUUUAUGAAAAAGUCCUUGAUUCUGAAUUUCUUCAAUUUGGCUCUUAAUUGAUCUCAAAACUUUGAUUUUCUUGCAAUUUUAUCUCUAAUUUCAUCCAAAUGAGUUCGGAGAAAUUAAAUCUAUUCAUCUAAAUUAAGCUUCCAAACUUAAUUCUUCACCUAUUAAGUUUCUAAUAAAAUUAAUUUGGCCCAUAAAAAAUCUAAUUAAAUCCUUGCACUUAACUAAAUCCUUUAAUUUGAUCCAAAUUGAUUAUUAAAUUUAAUUAAACUUUUAAUCAGGCCCAUGAUUAAAUCAAAUUUACCUAUUAAAAGUCUAAUUAAGUUUUUAAACUUAAUUUUUAUACAAAUUUAUUCAAUAAUCAUUUAAUUUAAUCUUGCAUCUGCAUUGUUUUUCAAACUUGGGUAUAAUUAGGUUCUCGAUUUUUAUUUAAAAGUUCAAAUUUUUAUACAAAUUUAUUCAAUAAUCAUUUAAUUUAAUCUUGCAUCUGUAUUGUUUUUCAAACUUGGGUAUAAUUAGGUUCUCGAUUUUUAUUCAAAAGUUCAAUUUAGUUACUCCAUGCAUUUGAAAACCUUCUUAAUCCACUUUUGCCAAUAUAUUUUUUCUUUUGAAUUUUAAAAAUAAUUUUGGGGGAAAUCUAAAAAUUAAAUUAUGACAAUAAAUAGUAUAAAAACUAAGAAUGUUUCUAUGAGUUCUUGAUUUUGAACCUGCACUAGGAUUGUUUCAAAUUCCUUGAACAGGAUUUUCCAAUCUCUUCUUAUGUUGUUUUUAAAGAUUGAAAGAGUUUACCUAAAACUUUAUUUCUGGUUUAAAAAAAAGCUUGCAAGGUAUUUGGACCCGGGAAAAAUUAGGAAUUCUAAAGCUUUGCAAGCUUUAUCAAUUAUCUAAUAAGCUAAAAGUGCAAAGUGUUUCAUUAUACAGUUUAUAAGUGAAACGCUUAGCUAUUUUAUUUUUUUUAAUUAUUUUUUUUGUUUUUUAUGUCUUGAUGGGAAUUUUAUUUUUUUUUGCUUUUUUUUUUGUGUUUUUUUCUUUUAAUGAAUUUUUUUUGUUUAAUUUAGUUUGUUAACGUUAAUUUUUUUAUUUAAUUAUCAGACUUUCAUGACACGGAUCCCGGGUUUGACGGGUUAACCUGGUUUGACAAGUUAACCCGGAAUAUUUUUUUUCUUUUUUUUCUUUUUAAUUAAUUUUUUCUGUUUAGUUUAGUUUGUUAAUGUUAAAUUUCUUUCUAUUUAAUUAUCAAACUUUUAUAACACGUAUCACGGGCUUGACAGGUUAACUCAGUUAAUUCAGGGUUAACCCGUCAAUUUUUCUUUUUCUAUUUAGUUAUCAAACUUUCAUGACGCGAAUUUCAGGUUUGACGAGUUAACCUGGUAUGAAGGAUUAACCCAGUUAAUUUAGAUUUUUCUUUCUUUUUCUUCAUUAGUUUUUUUCUUCCUGUUGAUUUUUUUUCUUUAUUUUUUUCUUUUUAAUUAAUCUAUUUAAUUAUCACACUUUUAUAACACGACCUUACAGCCAGACCCACAUCCAAGGCUCUUGGGUCCGGUGUUACAGUCAGACUCACUUAAACUUGAGUCAUGUAAGUUUAAUAUUAUUAUUAAUAUUAUAAAUAUUACUCUUGGAUCAAGCGUUGCAACUAGACCAAAGGCUCUUAGGCAUAUCUUUACAGAAAAACCUAACACUCUUAGAUCUUAGCCUUUUUUAAUAUUUUUUAUGUAAGAAAAAAAAAUUAACCUGUGGCGUGUGCCUUUGCUUUUUUUCUCUUUUCCUUUUUAAGCUUUUUAUUGUGGACUGCACAGUGUAGUCCACAGUGAAAAAGCUGAUGCCUUUUGUUUCUUUUUUUGUCUUUUUUCUUUUUUUUUUGUUUUUUAAUUAUUUUUUUUAAUUUAGUUUCUUAAUAUUAAAUUUUUUCUGUUUAAUUAUCAGACUUUCAUGACACGGAUCCCAGGUUUGACAGGUUAACCCAGUUGAUUCAGAUUUUUUUUUUUCUUCAUUAGUUUUUUUCUUCCUGUAGGUUUUUUUUCUAUUUGCUUUUUCCUUUUUAAUUAAUUUUUUUUUAAUUUAUUUCAUUAAAAUUAAAUCUUUUUUUCUAUUUAGUUAUCACACUUUCAUGACAUGAAUCCCAGGUUUGACAGGUUAACCUGAUUUGGCAGGUUAAUCCAUAUAUAUUUUUAUGCUUUUGACUAUGGACUGUACAGUGCAGUUCAUAGUGAAAAGGCUGAUGCCUUUUUAUUUGUUUUUUUUAUUUUUUAAUUAAUUUUUUUUGUUUAAUUUAGUUUGUUAAUGUUCAAAUUUUUUUCUAUUUAGUUAUCAAACUUUCAUGACACGGAUCCCGGGCUUGACGGGUUGACCUGGUUUGACGGGUUAGCUCAGUUAAUUAUGUGUUAACCCGACAAAUUGUUUUUUUCUAUUUAGUUAUCAAACUUUCAUGACACGAAUCCAAGGUUUGAAAGGUAACCUGGUUUAAAGGGUUAACCGAGUUAAUUCAGAUUUUUUUGUUUUUCUUCAUUAGUUUUUUUUCUUCCUUUUGGUUUUUUUCUUUGUUUUUUUCUUUUUAAUUAUCAUUUAUGAUACGACCUUGUAGCCAGACCCACAUCCAAGACUAUUGGGUGUGGUAUUGCAAUCGGACCCACUUAAACUUGGGUCAUGCAAGUUUAAUGUUAUUAUUAAUAUUAUAAAUAUUACUAUUGGGUCAGCGUUGCAGCCAUACCCAAAACUCUUGGGUAUAGUUUUAUAUAAAAACCUAACACUUUUAGAUCUUAGUUUUUUUUUAUAUUUUUUAUGCAAAAAAAAUUGACCCGCAGCAUCGCGCGGGUCAUGUAAUUAGUAGAAACUAAAACUAAUAAGGAUGAUGGGGCUGCUUAUGAAUCACAAAUUGUCACCUUAGAAUAGAGUCUGGGAUCGGCCCAUUUAAUUAUCCAGUGCCCAUUGUAGACUGUUAGGAAUUUUUCUUGCUGUUAUGAUUCAAGGAGCUGGAGUUAUAUUGCUUGUCCAAUUUCCUGCCAAGAAGAUUUGGAUCAACGGUAUAUAUUGUCCCAAGUGAGCAUGCAUGGCAGGGUAAGAUAUUAUUAGUACAAAGCUGGAAAGUCUAGAAGUGCAUCGCUUGCUGCUAUUUCCAGGGCACGAUAUCAUCAUUGUUGGGCGGCUUGGAAAGUUGAAAAAUGGAAGUUGAAAUGUGAAAAAAUGUCAUGCUCUGUGAUCCUGGCCCCCAUAUGCUGCAAGGCGUUUCUCCAACAGUUUCAUUGCAAUUCAGGAUUUCAAUUGCUAUAUGUUUGCAAAGGGCCCAGUCUCGAAGUUACCCCCUCAAUUCUUGCCGGAAUUAUGAAUGGGCUGAAUGUUAUAACGGAGACUUUUACAGGAAAUAUUGCAGAAGCCACCUUGCUGCGCCAAACUUCAAAGCUCAAGUGUUCCUUUCAGAUGGUGUGGCGGCGGCAGUGGCAGUGGCAGGGAAAACUAAUUUCCACUGCUGAGAAAUUUCCCACUUCAAAUCCACGCUGUUAUCCACUGAGAACAUGCCUAUGUAGCACGACAUUGCUUGGCAAUCCACCGUCAAAAUUUUCUGUCUUAUUUCAUACAAUUAAGAAUCUCGUUGUGUCUUUAUUAGCUCUCAAGAUAGGUGUUACACAAGUUUGUUAUGUCUGAUAUUGGUAAACAUGUUUUUUUUAAUGAUUUUGACAUUAUUGAUGUGGGAGGGGUUAUUGGAAAGUCCCUUCUUUCUUUCUUUUUCUUAUCUUCUAUAGUACAAUUAUCUUACUCCUAUCUUGAACUUAUAAUUAUGAGUUUCUUAACUCGGAAUUGCCAGGGAGAUGGUCAUAAAUUGUUUAUGCAUGCGUGUCAGUUUCUAAUCUUAGCAUAUAAGCCUACAUCUUUGAUCCUGGAGGAACGUCGUAUUAAUGGUAUUCAAGCUUCUCGGGUUAACUCUCAUCAGAUUUAGGCUUAUCGUUUUUCUAUGGUAUAUUUGGUUUUUAUGGGAUGGGAAUGUUACGAGUUUUUUUUUAAAAAAAAAAAAAAAACUAUAAGCAAUAUAUGCAUCUAAGCAUCACUCUAGAUGGCAUUACCUUUCUCUUUACUGAUAUUCAUAUGAAUUCCCAAAUUCAUAUUCAUAAUUUUCUAUGGAAGGAGUCAAUUAGGCUCUCACAGUCAGUCUCUGAUCAUCAGGGCCAUUGGUGUGAAUUUUAGUGUUAUUCUCUGCUCUAAUAAGAAAGUUGGUAGGUCUGAUUUCAAUUAAUAUAUGGAGUACAGUAUAAAAUUGGACCACAUGCCCAUAUAUUGGCAGCUCAAUAUACGGCCAUGUUUGUUUCCUGGAUAGUUUUCAGGAAAUUAUUUUCCAAACUUUCCUGUGUUUGUCUGUCAUUAGAAAAAUUGAUCAACGGAAAAUAUUUUCCGGUCAACGGAAAACACUUUCCAGUCAAAGGAAAAUUUAGCUUGAUUUCCAGGAAAGUAUUUUUCCUUUUAGCUGUGUUUGUUUUCCGGAAAGUGAUUUCCGGGAAACCACUUGCCAAACUUUUCUAUGAUUGUUUGUCAUUAGAAAAGUUGGUCAACGGAAAACACUUUCUAGUCAAAGGAAAAUUUGGCUUGGUUUCCAGGAAAGUGUUUUCCUGAAAAAUUUGGACGGAAAACACUUUCCGGAAGUUGUGAAAAAUUUAGAAAUGUCAUUAUUUGCUGAUUAUAUCAAAUUUAAUCCUCAAACUUUUGAUUGCUAUAUAUAUUUUGUUUUUAAUAUUUAUUUUUCAAUUUCAUCUCUUAAAUUUUAAUUUUUAUAUUAACUUUGAUCCUUAUUUUUAUAAUUGUUAUUUGCUUUUUCCUUAUCAUUUUUUUAUUAAAACUUUUUAUCUAUCAAAUUUGAUCCUCGUUCUUUUGAUUGUUACUUAUUUUAUUUGAAAUAAUUUAUGAAAUGUUAAUUAUUAUUAUUUUAAUUUCUUCAUCUUUUAUUUUUUUUAUUUUUUUAGAUUUGAUCUCUAUUAUUUUGAUUAUUAUUUAUUUUAUUUGAGAUAAUUUAUGAAAUUAUAUUUUUUUUCAAUUUCAUUCUCAUUCAACUUUUUAAUUUGUAAGAUUUGUUCCUCAUUAUUUUAAUAAACUUGAGAAAAAUAAAACAUCAAUAAGUUAUUUUUCAGCUUAUUUUCCAUGACAUAACCAAACAAUGAAAAGUGUUUUCCAACUUAUUUUCCAUUACAUUACCAAACAUCAGAAAAUAAUUCACUUUUCUGGAAUUCACUUUCCAAAAAAAAACUAUUUUCCAGUUAAUAAACGGGAUCUACAUUCAUUAUCUAAUCUGAGGUUUAGUGAUGAACAUGAAGGAGGCUUGGAAGAUGGCUUUUUAAGUGCUAUAGAUGAUUUUGUUUUAGCUGUUAAGCUUUGGAACAAGGAGGGUUUUGGUUGUUUUAUUUGCUUUUUUUUUUCUUGUUAUUUAAUUUUCUCGUAAUAAAAACUCUAGAAAAAAAGAUGUUAUUCUUCUUAAAAGAUAGCCUUCUUAGUAACGCCAAUAACCUAUAUAUAUAUAUAUAUAUAUAUAUAUAUAUAUAUAUAUAUAUAUAUGUUUAUUAAACAUUAAACAUCCUUACAAAACUUAAUCUUCCUAUAUCAUGAGUUAAUCUAUUAGAUAAUCUUCUCAUCAAUUAUAUUAUCAGCUAAUCAUUUAUAUCUUUCAAGGAGAAGAAAUUACACAAUAAAAACUUAAUUCAGGAGGAGACAGAUAGCAAUCUUGUAAAAUAAAGUGACGAUGUUAUCUAGGACCAAGUAUAGGAUAUGCAAUGCUGCAAUGUUUUAGUUAUUUUUAUUUUAUAUUUAUUAAUGAUUUGUGGUUAAGGGUGAGAGAAAUAUAUACAUAUAUAUAUUAGGGGUAAGUAAAAAAACCGAAAAACCGAUUAAACCGAAAAAACCGAAAAAACCGAACAGUGAAAAAAACCGAUUAAACCGAUUAAAAUUUUGAAAAAACCGGCCGGUUCGGUUCGGUUUCGGUUUUAUAAGCCUGAAAUCGAAAAAACCGAACCCAAACCGAAAAAAACCAAGCCAAAACCGAGCUAAACUGGUUUGAACCGGUUUUUUUCCUAAAAAACCGAACUGAACCGAACCAAAACCGGUCGGUUUGAACCGGUUUUGGUUUUUUAAAAAAAAAAUUAGUUUAAUUACUUUUUUUUAUAAAAACCGAACCAAACCGAAAAUAAUCACUCCUAAUAUAUAUAUAUAUAUAUAUAUAUAAAUAAUUUUAGUUAUUUUGUAAAAAGAAAAACCCUAGUCAAUGUUUAUUUAGGCUAAUGAAGUUUAUGCGCUCUUCCAUCUUGAUUCGUACGUGUGUUGAUUUUUGGUUGGUUAAGAAAGUCAAUAAUCAACACACGAAUAUUCAAGAUAUAGAAGGGUGCGUAUUAACAUGCAUGGACUUGCUUAAGAGGAUAUUCAAUUUUUCAUAGUAAGAGAAUAAGAAAGCACUAAAAUGUUGACGUUGAGAAACUAAAUAAUUGUAGAAGAAAUUAAAAGUGAAUGCAAAACAAUCGCCUACAACUAACUAUUCAAGACGAAGAUUUUCAAUUUGUUACUCUAUUUCUCGUACAAUUAAAUAUUUAAUUUAUUAAAAGAAAUAAUAAGUGGAAUCAAAUAUUGAUCAUCUAUUGAUGCGGGAAGGAUGCUCUUCCCUUGGAGGUUUUUCUCUUUUCUUUCGACUAGCAUUGCUGUUUCUGGCAAAUCAAUAAUGGUGCAAAAUGAGAUUAGCGUGGCAUGAACACUCCAUUUCUCUCUUUUUUUUCUCCAAUCUAUGUCAAAAUGCUUAAAUCCUCUAGUUACUGUUGCAAAAAUGCGUCCAAGUCAAAGUCUUCUAUAUAUUUGGCGUACUGACCAUGCAAAUUGUUCAAAAGAGGCUGGCUGGCUUUGAUUUGAGAUUUUUUUUUUUUCUUCAUCUUUAUCUUGAAAGUUGACUGUCGUUUUCCACAAGGUGUGAGGAAGGACUUUUCGGUUUUAAAGUCGCCUAUUUUUUAUAGACUGUUAACCAAAAAACAAUUGGUUGGUGCUUCUGUGGGAGCUUGACUGUAAUUUUCGUUGUAGUUUGGUAGAGAGUUGCUAGUUAAACUUGGACCACGAGACCCUCAAAAGUACUUGAUCAGAGGUUCUAACUUCUCUUGUUCAUACAGACAGCUGCUCCCUUAUUGUGUGCUGUACAAAGACUGAAAAAAGCUUCUAGUAGACAGUGGAUAGCGAAAGCCAUUUCAGGCAUGAAAUUAAUUCCACGCUUGAAGUUUCAGAGUUAUUGUCAUUCGCCUUCAGGUUCUGGUGUCAAAUCAAAGGCUGCUCGAUAAAACAGGAGCCAAGUCUUUCUCGGCAGCUCAUCUUGAAUAACAGAGUUCAGCAAGAACAACAGACUCCAAACCUCCCAAAAAUGUUGAAAAUAAACCCCAUUAUGUUCUCACUUCACUUCCUUGCCCUCUUCCUUUUUUUUCUCGACCAUGCAAACCCACAGCUCCAUGAUCAAGAACAAGCCAUUCUACUAAGACUGAAGCAAUACUGGCAAAAUCCAUCUUCUCUCGACCGUUGGACCCCAUCAAGCUCCUCUCAUUGCACUUGGCCAGGAGUGGCCUGCGCCAAUAACUCCAUCACUCAGCUCCUUCUUGAUAACAAGGACAUCACUGGAACAAUCCCACCCUUUAUUUCUGACCUUAAGAACCUCAAAGUUCUUAAUUUUUCCAAUAACAGCAUUAUUGGAAAGUUCCCUGUAGCUGUCUACAACUUUUCCAAGUUAGAGAUCUUAGACCUCUCUCAAAACUACUUUGUUGGCACCAUUCCUGAUGAUAUUGACAGUUUGUCUCGGCUCUCGUACCUCAACCUCUGUGCUAAUAACUUCACUGGCAACAUUCCAGCUGCCAUUGGGCGGAUACCAGAGCUAAGAACUCUUUAUCUUCAUGAUAAUCUGUUUAAUGGUACUUUCCCUGCAGAAAUCGGAAACUUGUCCAAACUUGAAGAGUUAUAUAUGUCUCACAAUGGGUUUCUUCCAUCAAAGUUGCCUUCCAGUUUCACCCAGCUGAAGAAACUGAGGGAAUUGUGGAUUUUUGAAGCGAAUUUGAUUGGCGAGAUCCCACAAAUGAUUGGGGAAAUGGUGGCACUGGAGCACUUGGAUUUAUCAAAGAAUGAAUUGACUGGGAGUAUCCCAAACGGCUUGUUCAUGUUGAAGAAUUUGAAGUUUCUGUUUCUUUACAAGAACUUGCUAUCUGGGGAGAUCCCUCAGGUUGUUGAAGCUUUGAACUCGAUUGUCAUCGAUCUUUCAUGGAACAAUUUGAAUGGGACAAUACCUGUUGAUUUUGGGAAGCUUGACAAAUUAUCAGGUUUGAGUUUGUCCUUCAAUCAGUUAUCUGGUGAAAUCCCAGAAAGCAUUGGUCGUCUUCCCGCGUUGAAAGAUUUUGCGUUGUUUAGCAACAAUUUAUCAGGGCCAAUCCCGCCAGAUCUUGGGCGAUACUCAGCCCUUGACGGCUUCCAGGUUGCUUCCAAUAGGCUUACAGGGAACCUGCCUGAAUAUUUAUGCCAUGGAGGUAGCUUAACAGGAGUGGUAGCUUUUGAUAAUAAGCUCGGUGGAGAGUUGCCAAAAUCACUUGAGAAUUGCAGUAGUUUGCUAACAGUAAGAAUCUCAAACAACGCAUUUUUUGGUAAUAUUCCUGUUGGUUUAUGGACAGCUUUAAAUUUGCAACAACUGAUGAUAAAUGAUAAUUUGUUCACUGGAGAGCUUCCUAAUGAAGUGUCAACUAGUCUUUCACGGCUCGAGAUAAGUAACAACAAGUUCUCUGGUAGUAUUUCCAUUGAAGGGAAUUCUUGGAGGAAUCUGGUAGUCUUCAAUGCGAGCAAUAACCAAUUUACUGGCACUAUCCCUCUUGAAUUAACCGCUCUUCCUAAUCUGACGGUUCUUUUACUUGAUAAGAACCAGCUUACCGGAGCACUUCCAUCUGACAUCAUCUCAUGGAAAUCUUUAACUACUCUAAACCUCAGUCAAAAUCAGCUCUCUGGACAGAUUCCAGAGGAGAUUGCUAUCCUACCUCACCUGCUCGAACUGGACUUGUCAGAUAAUCAAUUUUCUGGCCAAAUUCCACCUCAACUCGGUUUGCUGAGACUUACGUAUCUCAAUCUCUCUUCAAAUCAUCUCGUGGGAAAAAUCCCAGCUGAGUAUGAAAAUGCAGCAUAUUCCAGUAGCUUCUUGAACAAUCCUGGUAUUUGUGCAAGUAGGCCAUCGCUAUACCUUAAGGUUUGCAUUUCCAGACCCCAAAAAUCAAGCAAAACUUCAACCCAACUCCUAGCCUUGAUAUUAAGUGUUUUGAUUACAGCUUUUCUGUUAGCAUUGUUAUUUGCAUUCAUCAUUAUCAGAGUUCACUGGAAGAGAAACCAUAGAUCGGAUUCAGAAUGGAAGUUCAUUAACUUCCAUAGGUUGAAUUUUACUGAAUCAAACAUACUGUCAGGAUUGACAGAAAGCAACCUGAUAGGAAGCGGUGGAUCAGGAAAAGUAUAUCGUGUUGCUGCAAAUGGCUCGAGUGUUGUUGCUGUGAAAAGAAUCUGGAAUAACAGACCGUUGGAGAAGAAACUUGAAAAGGAGUUCCUUGCAGAAGUUGAGAUACUGAGUACAAUAAGGCAUUUGAACAUAGUGAAGUUGCUCUGUUGUAUUGUCAAUGACAAUUCGAAACUUCUUGUCUACGAGUAUCUGGUGAAUCAUAGUCUCGAUCAAUGGCUGCAUACAGCAAGGCGAUCAAACAGUGCAUCAACUUCAGUAAAUCAUGUUGUUCUGGACUGGCCGAAGAGACUGCAGAUAGCAGUGGGAGCUGCUCAGGGUCUGUGCUACCUGCAUCACGACUGCUCUCCCCCAAUAGUUCACCGAGAUGUCAAGUCAAGCAAUAUCUUGUUGGAUUCUGAGUUUAAUGCAAAAAUUGCUGAUUUUGGUUUAGCAAAGAUGCUGAUUAAGCAGGAAGAACUUGCCACCGUGUCAGCUGUUGCCGGUUCUUUUGGUUACAUAGCUCCAGGUAAAAGAUCACUCUUCAGGUCUUAUCCUUGUGUAUUUGCUUCCUUGCCCUUCUUUUCCAGUACCUAAUAUUGAAGUUUCUUAUUUUACAACUUGAAUCGCAGAGUAUGCUCAAACAGUUAGAGUAAAUGAGAAGACCGAUGUUUAUAGCUUUGGGGUUGUCCUUCUAGAACUAACAACGGGAAAAGCAGCAAAUUAUGGUGAUGAGCAUACAGGCCUCGCCAAAUGGGCAUUGCGUCACAUGCAAGAAGGAAAAACUAUAGUCGAUGCCUUAGAUGACGAGAUAAAGGAACCUUGUUACGUGGAUGAAAUGAGCAAUGUUUUCCUAUUGGGGGUUUUCUGUACCAGCGAAGUGCCUUCUGCUAGGCCUCACAUGAAGGAGGUUUUGCAAAUCUUACUCGGAAGGAACCAUCCAUUGGUCUACGGAGUGAAGAACAUUGGAAGUGAGUAUGAUUCCACUCCUUUGCUUAAGAACUCAAAACGCGAGGGGCAAUCAGAAAGUGACAGCACUUUGGCAUCCGAUAAUUGAUCACUCUGCUUUAUGCACAGAAAUCACCACUACUCCCUGCUUACCUUGAGAAUAAGGAGUGUUAUUUUUGAGUUCAAAUUGUAAAAUUUGCAUAGUUAGGCACAUAAUGAGCUAGUAUAAGUCUAAGAUAGUAGAUACCAUCUAAAUCUUCAGAGAAUAAAAUCGGCAGCUACAAGGUUGCAAUGCUGUAGCUUGUACGAUCUUUUCAAAACCAUUGUCCAAGCUGGGAUGCAUGAUAUCCGUUAAUAUAUACAGUGUACUAAAGCAAACAAGCACCAUUCCUCUAAAUCUCUAAUGCCAAGCACGGCCCAACAGUCGUUCAGGGCUCUGAUAAUGAGAGACAUAGGAUUUAGGUGCGCGCGCCACCUUCACAAUAAUUUCACCUGUGAAUUUCUCCCACAGCCACAGGCCACCAUUUAAAAUCGCACGCAUAUAAAGGCGAAACCCAAAAAACUCGCCGCCUGGCUUCCACCAGCAACAAAAGAUCAACAAAGAACAGUCAUGCAUGCAGGUCAAAAAAGAGUUCGUCUAACGAACAAAACAUAUCUGGCAAUGAGAUAGCUUCUAGCCUACCACGUGUUGAUCCAGUAAAUAAAUCAUGAUCAUAAAAAUUCACUUUAUUUUCCAUCGGAACCAUAGAAAAAAUAUUCCGUCAAAUGUAACAACUCAAAUAAUUGUUUUACAUCCCCCACUUUAUUGUGUAAUUCAUGUAAAUGACUGAGAAAAGUAAAGAGGAGCAGUGUGACAGACUCCCACACUGAAGCUUGGGACCACUAAUGGCACUUUUCAAAAGAGUAUUUGAUCUACUGCUCAACUUACUACCACAAAAUAUGGAUUUCGCUGGCAUCGUCAUAAGAACUAGGUUGAAAAGCUCCAGAUGAUUUGAAGUCGAGUGUAGAGGGAUAGAUAAUAUACAAAAAACAAAAAUGUAACACUACUUAAUGUAAUGGGUUAUCAUCAAGAUUCUUCGACCUCCAGGUAUUGGGAAUGCGAGGCUGCUAGGAGAGCAGCUCCAAUGCCUGAGCCAUCAUUAGACUGCUCAACGACAAUGUUGUCAGAAACUUCUUCUCCCAGUAACUCCUUGAGAGUGCUUUCCAUGCAGGUACUAAAUUUAGAGUAGUGCUCAUACAACCCACCAUCCAUUGCUAUCACAGACUUCUGCUUUUCACCAUCCUUUACAGUGUCUCUACCCAAUUUCUUGAUGAUGCCUACAAUCCCAGCAGCAGAUAGGCGGGCACCACGAGUGGCAACAAUGUCACAUAGUUCAACAAUAGCUUUCCUCAUUUUCAGCGAGGUAUGAGGUAUCUAGGGGACAAAAGGAAGCAAAAAUGAAAUGUGCCCUUUGGAUUACAUAACAAAACAACGAAAUAUUUUUGCAGUCGGAGAAGAGCAAAGAUGGCAAUUGAAAAUGGAAAACAUCAUGACUCUCCUAUAACCUGGUUCACACCAAGCCAAAUGUGGCAGGUUUCCAAGAACCACCAAAUUAUCUUGACAGAAGAUGAAGCAGAGGUGGUACACAUACAGUCAUCAACACAAACCUAACCUAACUAGUUAUUGAUAUUAAUUUCCUCUUAUAUAUAAUGCAUCGCACAGAUUGAGUCAGCCUGUUUUCUUAGGUUCAAUCUCUUUCACCCAACUUCACCUUUACCUUUUCCUUUUCAUUUUUUACAUUUCUUACAGAGUAACCAAAAAGAAAUUUAUUUUGAACGAGUUAUGAAAAUGAGGUAAUUUGGAAGUUAAUUGCGAGAGUUAUAACUGAACUUUAGAACCACUAUUCACCUAUUGUGUGUAAACUACUAUUUUUCUUAUUUUAUUAUGCAAGUUUUUGGGAUAAAUAGUGUCACCUUAAGCAGAUAUCAUUUUUAAUUUUUGAAAUAAAAUGGUAUCAAAAAGAAAGAUAUGCAUCAAAGUGAGGUGGCGUAGCGGUCCUUGUUUUGCAUGGAGAAGGAAAAUGAAUGUAUGGCAAUGAAAUUUUCCAAAACAUGAGACGAUUGGAUGGGGACAAACAAAAUCUCCACAACAUCACUUCAUUAUCAUACCAACUUGAAUACUUCAAGCAAGUUAAGAGGAAGUUUUGAUCUCUAUGCUGAAUUACAAUUAAUCUCUUUUUCUCAUUAAGAAAGCGUAUCAAGAUGUAAGAGGUAAAUAGAAUGAUACAAAAGGCAAACACAAUAGGCAAAGCAUAAUACCUCUAAAAUAUCUUUUAGUUUGCUUCCAACAACUCUCAGAUCUGAAGAUUCAUCAUGGUGCAUUGCAGACAUGUGAGGCGUCCUGCAUAUUAACAGCAGUGCAAGUUUGUAUUAGUUACAACAUCAACAGCAUUGGGUUGAUCAAGAUGCAAUGACGAGCCAUCUCAACUCAAAACAGGAAAAGGACCAAAAACUUCGAACUCAAUACAUGGCAGACAGCUCACAAACAAAAAUAUAUGGCAGACCUUAAGAUGAAUGGAAUCUUCAGUUUUUGUGGAACAAUAUCACCAAAAAAGGCAGCCUCUUCAGCCAUUUUCAGUAGAACUCUGCGUACAAUUUCUCCCAAAUACAUACCAGAAAUAAUCUUUUCAAAAAUCUGCAAACAAUAAUGACAAAGCUCUUAUAAGUACAUUAAACCACCUCUAUAAGCAGCAAUGAGUCAAAACAAAUAAGGAAUAUAGCAUCACCUGUUCGCCAGGAUUCAAAGACUCAACAUCCAAGUCUUGAUCAUAUUCUGUUAGUGGAAGGUGCGAAGACCGGAAAUUACCCCAUUCCAUGUUGAUAACCUAUAAUAAGAAACAGUUCGGGUAUCAGUUUAUGCUUAUUAAAUUAUAAGCAUUCCUGUCAUAAGACAAAGUAAAAAAGAGGAGAAAUUGUAUCUGAAAUGCCAACCAUUUCUCCAGAUUUGGGUAGAAGACCAUGCCACUUAGGAAUUGCUUGUGCUCGCUCUACAUAUGCUGCAUUUGUUCCAGUACCCAAUAUUACAGCAGCAAUUACAUCUGGGUUGUGGUAUCGACCUCCAGCUAAUGUUCCAAUUGUAUCAUUGACCUACAUCAGCUCAGAGAGUUGAAGAAUCUGUUUAGUUAUGUAGACAUGUGACUGCAUUACGCAUUAAGCACCCAUUCCAUCAGCACUGGACUGUAAAUCACAUUCUUUGUCAUUUAAUAGAAAACACCCAAACAGAGAACCCAGGGACAGCAACCAAAUUACUUACCAAAGCUGACACGCGCAUGUCAAGUCCAAUUCUUUCCAUGGCUUUGGUUAAUUCUCCCACCACAUCUUCUCCAACCUAAGGACCAGGAAUGAAGUUAGCAACAAGGUGAAAAAGGAUUGGCAGAAUAAGAAGGUACAGUUAUUGACUGAAGCUAUUGCAAUCUUGAGUCUAAGUGCUGGUUACAGUAUUUUGCUUUAACAUUUUCCAGAGCAGAAAUAUCAGGGAUAUACCCUCACAAGGCUAUAUUUAGAGAACUGUCUGCUUUUAGAAGUAAAUGUAGAGCACAUGUGGCAGAGUUAUAACUCUGAGUAAGUAAGAUACAAGUGGUUAAUUUGAGCUUUCCACACAGUAGAGAUAUAUGCUCGCUAACUAAAUUAUGCAGACUACACGUGAGCAAUAAGAACUAGAAAGAAAAUGAACGCUUUGAUAGAAAAUUCCUUUGCUCCUGAAGCUUGGUUGACAUGGUUGGCAUGUGUUCCCACAGAAUUUAAGCAGGAACAUACCUUACUGCUAAGAUUUCACAGAUCAAUGGAAACUAAUAAUAAAUUCAGAGUGAUAUCCAGAACAUCAGAAAACAAGCACUAACAAAAUUAGUAAAUUUCAGAUGCUUACGAUCGGUUUCUCUAUUUAAGUGAUCAAAACCAUCAGAAAUCAAGUACUACCAGUAUGUCUGUGUUCAACUGCCAGCUGCAUGUGUGUCUCACAAUAAAAAGACUAACUAUUAUAUGCAUUGUUACAUAGAAUGGCUCCAAAAUAUUAUUAAUGCAAUUUUUAACACUGCAUAUGACCUGUACCCCUUAGGGAAUGCUUUAAUAAUUUUGUCACUGUUCACUGAUGAAAAGGAAUAUAUGUAACGCAAAGAAGUGGAGUAGGUAAAGGGAAAAACGUUGACAUUUUUAGAUGGUAAAACAAUUUCUUGUAAGUUUUUUAUUCUCAUAACAGAUAUGCACCAAGAUAAAAACCAAUAUAACUGUAAUUGAAAAAACUGAUUGUAAUGCAAUGAAAACAGAUGGCCAAAGGAGGAGGGGGGAGGGAGGCAAGUGAGGGUAAUUAGGAUUCACCACAUCAUCUAUGGAGAAUCCUUUUGUCCAUUUUAUAAGAUUUCCAGAUGCUAUUGAUGUUUGCCUAACUGGAAAUGAGAAGGUAAAACCGAGCUCCCUUUGUCUCCCAGGUGAACAAUGCAGACCUUCACUUUCUGUGGCAACAAAAUUGGCAAGCGCUGUAGCAAUGAAACCAAAUAGUGCCUGAAAUCACCACCGUAUACAAUAUAUUCAGAUCACUAACUAUUCUAAGCAAGUUUAAGUUUGAUAGACUAGUUUGAAAUGAUGCUCACAUCUGAAGAUCCAGUCAUCAAGUGUGGAGGAAUUGAAACUUCCUCAAACUCUUGUUUGACAACACCUCCAUCCCUCCCACCGAGCAGUACCCGUAUAACUCGAAAAUUUGUUCCGCCAAGGUCCAAUGCAUAGAACAACCCAUUCUCUUCUCUGAAAAAUUAAGCACAGAAGUAGCUAACCAUUCAGUGGUAAUUACAUUUAGUUAAUAUAAAAUGUCUUGACAAAUGAAAUUGCGUUCUCUCAGGAACAAAUUCUUCACAGAAAAGCAACAUCUUUCGUGUUCCUGUAUGAACAUCAAAGCUUCUUUUGUCUUCUGUCACUCAUUAAUUCUUCAUUUUUUUUUUCUAUAAAUUUUUCAUUUUUCAGUACUUAAAAAACCUUAUCCACAAUUUUAAAAGGGCUAUCUGCAGCUAAAAGGAGUUCAUCAACCAAACAAUCCUAUGGUUGAACGAUUAAAAGGAAUACCACAUCCCAGAAAUUUCUGUACAUUCUUCCAAGUUGAUCAUUACUAAGUUGACCAGCAUAGAAUUUUAUUUAUGUGAAAAUUUAACCUACAACAUGAUAAUCUCAAAUAACUCCAUCUUAAGUUUAUUUGAUUAUAAAACAUGGAUGUUCAUAAUAAGAUAUUUAUGUAGACCACAAAGCCAGCCUUUAUCAGCAGUACAGUACCACCAACUGAUCAUAAAGAAUCCACGCUCCAUAAGAAACACAUCAAAUCAGCAGCCAAAAAAGAAACCUUGCAGAAUCUAUCAACUCAAUACAAACUAAGUACUGUUUGCUUAUCAGUUUAAAAAAUGAAAUGACCACCCACUUCAAAAACUCCAAAGUUCAUCAAAUCAGAUAUUGUGAUAAGAUACUAAUACAACAUAAGAGAACUCACUGCCCGGGAGAUUUCCGAACCACAGCUAUAUGAAAAGCAAAGAUGAGAAUUGAGAUAUAAGCUGUAAAAAGCAAAAUGUAGCAGCAAAGCUUCGAACAGUAAGCUAUAUUCCAAGUUCCAUUCAACGGGAAAAAAACAGAGGGAGAAGAAGAAAGCAAACCAUUGAUGAAAGAAAAAGAAAGCAUUUAUUGAUUGAAUGAAAAAGAGGGAACUACAAAAGAGACAACGUUAGGUAACUUAAAAGCAAAGGCUAAAAAUUUUUACAAAUCCUACCCGAAGCCAGCGAAACAUGUCAAGCUUAAUUGAAGAAAGGUAGAAUUCAAGAUUAGUAAAGAAUACGCCUUUCACUAAUAAAAAGUUAAUUCUUGAACUAUCUACAUCAAAGAAAACCCAUCUCCACUAAAUUUCAAUGGACACAAAAGAGUUUAAAGAUUCUUGUUUAUACACUCAAGUUCACAACUGUUAAUCAAACUCACCCUUAAACAAUCUUAUUUAUGAACUCCUACUUCAUUCCCUAAAAACACAUCAAAACGAAAUUCGUUUUUCAUGUCCAAAGCAGAACUCUUUUACCAACACAACAAUCAUCAAAACAUUAAUAACUAAUAAAAUUACAAAUAAAAUCAGGAUAUUAGAGAAAAGAUUGAAAAUUCAGUAGCUUUUUUUCAGGACAAAAAACAAAUCCCCACGAUUAAUCAACAAUUAAAAAAAAUUCCAUUACUUCAGAAAUCUAUUUAUAAAUAUCCCUCUAGAAAAUUAAAUACUACACAAGUAAACUUAAAUGGGAAAUGAAAACGAAAAUAAAAGUAAUUAUGUUUUACUUUAGUAAGAUUAAUAGUUGAUUACCCGGAGGGAAGAUUAUCUACAUAGCUGAUUAACAUCUUGAGCUUACUACCACCCUCAGAUGCAAGGCCGGCAUGCAUCUCAACGGUCAUAGCAUCAGCCACCUGUCUUAACUUCCCAAUAGGGGUCCCACAAUUUUCCUCAAACUCUCUUAGUAUCGCCAUAGCCCUGGCCCACCUCCCUGAACAUCUCAUCCUGUGCCUCACCACCAACGCCGCCGCCGCACACACUGUCGCCGCGCAAACAACCGCCGCUCCUACUGCCACCUUCCCCAUCACAGUAGUAGUAACAACAAAAACAACAACAACAACAAUAGCGACAACAACGGUCCCUAAAACUGUUGGAUUUGGAGUUGAAGGAAAUGAAUCAGCUAUUUAUAAUAUAAAAGGAUUCAUAGAUAAGGAUUUAUAGCGGAAAAUUUGAAGCAAAAUUAUCGGUUGUCAAAGCUGGAUUUGUCUCGGAAAAUAAGGUAAGACUGCUAGAAAAGAAAAGUGUUUCAUCUAAACAUAGAUGAGGGUUUACUUUUGUAAUUUUAUUUUCGGUUUAAUGUUUUUAUUUGGUCCUCCAACUGUUUAUUUUCUUAUCCUUCAUCCUUUUACUAUAUUUUCUACUAUAAUACCCCGUAUGUUUAUAAUCAUUCAAAUUGUUUAUAUACAAUCCAUUAGCCGAUAUUUUUUUAGUUUAUUUUAUUUUUUAUUUAAUAUUAUUAUAUUUUUUUAAAAUAUUUUUUCAAUAUUUAAAUAAAAAUAGUUUUUCUAGUUUGUUUUUCUUAUUUAGUAUUAUUAGAGUUUUCUAGUUUUUUCUAUAUAAAAUGUUGUAAUAGCCUUUUGACAAGUUGAGACUUGAAUGAAUAAAAAUUAAAUAUUUUGAGAGUCUCCUAAGUCUUAAUACUUAUGAUAUUUUUUUAUCUUUGAUGAUUUUAACUUAUAACAAACAUCUUAUCUUUUUUUCUUAUCUGCAUCAAUUAGUAUUAGAGCUUAAUGAUUCUUAAUAGUUAUUUUGCUUUGUUGCAUGUUGCAAAACAAUCAUGGUUGGAAGAUGUUGCAAAACAAGCGUGUAUAGGAGGGGAUGAGAAGGUUCGCUCUCAGGAAAAAGACAUUCAAAAACUAGUGUGUUGUUUUUGUCUGCAUCAGUUGAUGUUAUUUGAAACCUUGAUGGUGGGACCUAUAAUAAGAUAGCCCACACAAAGGUGUGGUGUUAGGGGUCCAUGAUGUGGAAGUCCACACAAAAGUGUUGUGUUAGGGAUCCACGAUAAGAUGACCCACAUAAAGGUGUUAUGUUAGGGAUUCAUGGUGGGGAAGUCCUCACAAAUGUGUUAUGUUAGGAACCUAAAUAAGGUAACCCAUAUAUAAAAUGAUUUUUUGAUGGAGAACAAUUUCUAACUGAAGAUUGCACUCGAGAACAAGUUCAUUUCAACCUGAGAAGACUAAUACAUAAACUUUUUUUAGGAUAAUAUAUAUUUUCCUUUGUUUCUAUUUAAAGAUAAUAUUUUUUCUAAUUAAUUUUUUUCUUAUUCAGUAUUACUAAGGUUUUCUAGUUUUUUAUAUAUAAAAGGUUGUGGUAGCCAUUUGGUAAGUGGAAACUUGGAUAGAUAAAAAUUGAAUAUUUAGGAGUCUUCUUCAUAGUCAUGGUGUUUUUGGUCUUUGAGAGUUUUGACUUGUAACAAACUUCGUUUCCUUUACUAUGUUUGAAUCGGUUGGUAUUAGAGCUCAAUGAUUACUAGUUUUGAUUAGAGGACAUAGAGGAUGUGUAUCAGAGCUCACUGGUCCCAAGUAUAUAAUGAUGAUUCAAACCAUAUAUUAGGAUCUUUUAACAAAUUUUGAAUGAAAAGUUUUUAACUUGGCCUUUUAACAACCUUUCAAUUUUUAUAUCUUCUUUGUGAGUGAUUUAAUUUAUAUAUUUAGGGUGGUGAGUUAUUCGUGUUCGUUUCAAUUUGGUACUUUAAAGUGGUGACCGAAAAUUAUCAUUUAUGUGAUUGAUCUGUCACUUUACAAUUUUCAUAUCAUCCCGAUAUCAAGUUAGUAUCAAAGCUUUAGAUUUAUAACCAUGGUUGUUCGUGGACAUCGUGUGUAAGAAUUCAAGAGGAACAUUCGUAGUUUUGAAAUUGAUAAAAUAAAAAGGCAACUUCAGCAACUCCAAGAGCAUUUUGACUGAUUUAAUAAUUGAGACAAUAAUGGUGAGGAUAUUAAUCCUUUCCUUCACAAACCAUAUUGAGCAUAAUUUUAGUGAUGGUUCUUCUUCUAAGCAUAAAAAAAGAAGUAAUAGAAUUCCAUAUUGAGAAUCUGAUGUAAAGAUAUUCCUGAAAAUGAUUAUUCAAUGUAGCUUUUUGAUUGAUAUAUAUAAGUGAAAUUUCAACAACAUGAAAAUGAUGAUGAAACUAAAAAUCUUGAUGAUUCUAGAUCUUUUAUGGAUUGGAAUCAACCAUCAAAAUUCGAUGAGGAUAAGAAAGAUGAUAUCGAAGGAAAAUAUCUCGAUACGAAAAUCUAAGUCUAUGAUGAACCUAAGUAUGCCAAUGAAGUUCUUGUUACAUUAAUUGAGAAGCAUGUUGAGGAGGUGGUUCUAAAAUGAGUUUUGAUAAAGAAAAUUAUGAAGGAUGUGCUUCAUAUGUGAUUAAAAAAAUUUAUGAAAUUAAUGGGGUCGAAGUUGAUGUUCUUGGACAAAAAAAAAGUGAAUUUGUCAAUGUUUUUGACAACGUUCUAGAAACAAUAUUCAUUAGUUUUGAACAUAAUAAAAUUGAUAAAGAUGGGGGAUUUGAGUUGUUCUUUUAUGAUAAUUUAAGGAACAUUUAUGAUAUAGAAAGUAAUUUAACUAAUGUUAAAGGACUCUAGUUCAAAGUUUUCAUAAAGGAUAAUGGAAGUGUUUUGAUUGGACAUCCACAAGAUCGAGAAAAAAGUUAUCUGAACUUGAGGACGAGUUUUUUCUCAAUCAAAAGGACUUAAUACAGGAGUGUCCUUAAAUGGUCUUACUAAUGUUAAACUACUUAAGUUUGGAAUGACAAUACAAAAAAUAAAGUUCUUGAUGAUGUUUAUUGUUCACCAAUGUGCCAACUUUGAGCCCGAAUUUGUAUAUCUUCAUUGCAUGAGAAAAUAAACUUAUCCUAUUUGGUUUUUAAUUUCAGAAUAUGAUCUUUUUAAAUUGUUCAACCAUGCAUGCAAUGGAGUUUUCUAUAAUACGUUAUGUCGGUUUUAAUUUAUAAUCUUUCUAAGUGUUUAUUUGUGUUUUUAAGAAGUCAAAAACAUGUGUUAGUUAAUGAUUGUCUAGUUUUCUAUCCAAGUCAUUUGUUUGGGUCUUAAUUACAUUGUUUUAGUGUUUUUCUAGACUUGAAGGGUAUUUCAAAGUAUAUAAUGAUGAUUCAAACUAUGUAUUGGGAUCUUUUGAAAAAAAUUAAAUGAAAAAUCUUUGACUUGAUCUUUUAGCAACCUAUCUUGUUCUAUAUCUCAUUUAUGAGUGGUUGACUUAUUCCUUAACUUUAUAUCUCUAAAGUGGUGAUUUAAUUAUAUCUUUAGGGUGGUGAGUUAUUCACGUCUGUAUCUCUCCAGUUUUGUAUCAUAGAGUAGUGAGCAAAAAUUAUAAUUUGUGCAAGUGAUAUGUUACUUUAUGAUUUUUAUACCUUCUCGGUAUCAGGAACUCAUGAUCGAAUGGACCACACAUAAAAGGAUGUUCAUGGUAAAUGAUGGUUUUUUACUAAAGUCUGAACACGAGGAAGAGUUCCUUCCACGGAAAAUUGAUGUAGGAGUUUUUUAGAAAAUUGAUGUAGGAGUUUUUUUUAGGAAAAUAAAUAUUUUUCUUAGUUAAUUUUUUUUUAUUUUUUUCAUAUUCAAUAUUAUUACCCUUUUUAAAAAAAAUCAAUUUAAAGAAAACAAUUUUCCUAGUUUAUUUUUAUUAUUUAGUAUUACUAGGGUUUUCUAAUUUUUCUUUGUUUAAAGGAUUAUACUAGUAUUUUGGCAAGUUAAGACAUAAAUAAAUAAAAAUUAAGUAUUUUAAGAAUCUAUCUAUACUUAUAGUAUUUUUAGUUUUUAAUGGUUUUAAAUUGUAACAAACCUCUUAUCUUUCACUCUCAUCCAUAUUUAAUAUAACAUAGAAAUUCACUCAUUUCCUUUUAAGUAGUAAUUAGCCAAAUUUCUAUGCUUUUCUUUUUUUAGAGACACCUUUAGCUUAGAAUUAUUAUAGUUAUGAUUCUGAUUUUUGUCUAUAAUUAUGGUUAUGUUUUGAUAAUUAUGUAGUUGAGAAAAAUUGUAUCGAAAUUAAUAAAUAAAAAAACUCAUAUAUAUUCUUAUAUAUAUUUGGCUAUGAGAUAUAAGUAAAUUGCACGCCCAAUUUUAUGAUAUAAUGCAGGUUUAUAGCAUUUGGGAGUUUUUUUUUUUAAUUUAGCAAAAUACCCAUUAUAUGAUUUUAUGUAGACUGCAUAUUAAUGGAAAAAUCCAACAUUUUCAUUAACAAAUAUCGACGAUGACAAUGAAUUGAAAUACUAAGGGGACUAAAUUGACAUAAGUUCAAGAUAUGGGGAUCAAAUAUCACUAUUGAUGUAUUUUUGGGAUUUUAUUAACUCUUUGGUACUUCUACCCGAGUGCGCUGCGGUCUGAAACGAGAAGAUAUUUACGAGUUUGAGGUGGGGAGAUGAUAGAUAAUGUUUUGUUAGAAAAGUGGACAAUAUGGUUUGUGUCUUCCUUUCAUGAUGCUUUUUGUACUUUUCGUUUAAGAAUGCCAGGUGUUUUUUUUUUUAUCUUAUUAGCACGUGCAAAGCUGGAAUCUUACACGAAAAUUAAAAAAUAAAAAAUUCAAUGAUAUUAAUCCUUCAAUUUUUUUAAAAUAUUUUUUAUUUAAAAAUAAUAUUUUUUUAUUUUUUAAAAUUUAUUUUUAAUAUCAGUAUAUUAAAAUAAUUUAAAAAUAUAUUAAAAAAAUUAACUUUUUAAAAAUAUUUUUAAAACGUAGAAAUUUUAUAUUUGUAUUUUAAAUUAUUUAAAAAAUAAAUUUGAUCUUAUGAAUAAAACAAAAAUUUUCUAACAUGAUCUUGAACGGAGACAGAAUAUUUUAUUUGUUAUGAUUGAAAUUUUAUCCGAUUGAGAUCCAUGGUUUUACUCGGAUAAUGUGGGCGGGUGUAAUCUUUAACUUGUCCAAAACGUUGACCGGAAAACUCUGUCGAAGAUGAGUCUUACAGCUAAUUUUGUCCAAAAUUGACCAUAAUCUGACUCAGCAACCAGUCAUCAUUUUGAUUUUUUAAGCUGACUCCAAGUUGGGGAAUCCAAUCCAAAUACUUAUUCUCUAUAAAUUCCCAUUAAUAAACCUAUUUACUAUUUCAUAAUCUGACUAUUAUUUACUAUUUCAUAAUAAUAAUAACACUAAUAAUAAUAAUAAUAAUGUUGAAAAAUAAUAUUUAGUUUUUUUUUUCUGAGUAUUGAAAUAGUGCAAUUGGAUUAUUAGUUAUAUAUAAUUAGUAAAUCAUUUAGUGCUUUAAAAAUAUUAAUUUUUAAUUUUUCAAUAUAGAAUUGAGACUUGUUGUUUUAUGUUGGACUGCUCAUAUUAUUAUUAUUAUUAUUGUUACUACUAUAUAUAAAUGAUGGAUAUUUUAUGUGUUUUAACAAUAAUUUCAUAUAAAAAAUUGAUUAGUUGUUUUUGUUAUAUUUUUCUAAUGUUAAUGUUUUCGUUGAUGUAUUAUUAUUAAAAUUUGUUAAUUUAUUUGUUUACUUGAGUUUCUUUAAAAUUAAAAUUGAUUGUUGGUGGUUAAUUGAAUGGAUAACAAAUAAUUAAUUAUUUUAAUUUUGUUUAUUGAUUUUUAUCUUGAUUAUGGUCAUGGUUAACCAUUGCCAUCCUUAAAUGAGAUGAUGUGUAUCCUUUUUUGUUCUAGAAGGGAACCCAAGAAGAGAGAGGUCAAUCAGGUAAUUUCUCAAAAAGGAUGAAUAAUACCCAUAAUGUGUGUGAGCAGUCCAGACCACGUGAAUAAGCUUUGUCGCAAAGGAGAUGUCAGUUUUGUAGUAAUUAGAAACUCUAAUUGUUUUUUUAGAGAUUCUCUAGGUUGAUUAUGUUAAAUAAAAAAUUAAAAUUAUUUUAAAAUAGCUCAUUUAAAACAAGGUGUUUCAUAUCUAUUUUUAAUGAUAAAAAUAUUUAUUAUAUUUACAUGCUAAAAAAACAUACCUAAAGUAGUUUGUGUAUUUAUUAAAGAUAAAAAUAAUUAAGAGAACCUAAAACAAUAAUUUGAAACUUGAGCCCUGUGAUUUGGCACAAUCUGUACUUAAGGGAAUGAUAAUUGUUAAAUAAGUUUCGGCCCAUCUCUCUUAAUUAUGUUUGAAAUGGGCUCGCCUACUUUACUCUUAAUAAGCCUAUCGUGAGAUAUAGUGCGUGUUUUGCUUGGGAUUUGGGGUGCCUUCGUUGCCUCUUCUCUUCUGCACCGGCAGUGAGUUUCACCGUCGGUUAAAAACAAGUGUUAUUGUUUUUGAGGUAGUUUUUAUUGUUAUAUUUUGAAAAGAAGUAAGUUUUAAAAAAAUAUGAUUAGUUAUAAUUAGUUGGAUUUAAAUAUGUUUUUGGUAAAAAUUAUGGUUGAAGUUUAUGUAUAGUAAAAUACAUGUAUAAAAUGUUUGGUGAAAGUGUGUUUGCAGUUGUUUUUUAAAGUAUUUUUUACUUGGAAAUGCAUCAAAAUAAUAUUUUUUUUAAUUUUUAAAAAAUUAUUUUUUUAUUAGCGCAUCAAAAUGCUCUGAAAACACAAAAAAUAUAUCAAUUUGAAGUAAAAAAUAAAUAAAAAAUUUUCAAUUUUUUUCAAAUGUGUUUUUGAAACACAAAAACAAUCGGGGUUUUACAAAAUUCAAUUAAAAAAAAUAUGUAAAAACUACUUCACAAAAAUUACAUUUCAAACUCAAUUUUUUAAUAAAUCUCACAAUAUAUAAUAUAAUUUAAUUUAUUAUUAAAUAUUUUACUGCGUUUAUUUCACUGCAAAUAUAAAACCCGGUGAAAACAAACGCAACAAAGAGAGAUCAACGCAUAUGAAAGUUACUUUCUUUUCCUAUUCAUUUUCUUUUUCUUCAUCAUUGAAAUAAGGCCUACGUACUACUUUUGAUUUUGUGUUGUUGUGUUCGUCGGUGGCUGGUUGUUCGACAUGAGGAGAGGGACUAUUCGAUGGCUGGGAAAGGCAGGUGGUCCAACGGAGGAGGGCUGUCCUGAGGAGAGGGACUUUUCGAUGGCUGGAAAAUGGAUUAAAAUUAUUAGGCAAGAAACUUAAAUUAAUUAUUGAUCAACAUAGCAUGAAAUUUAUCACAAUUAUAACUAAAUUCAGCAUGAAAUUAAGAGGUAACAAAUAAAAAUUAAAUAGGUUCAAUCGAGAAGUAAUUAACUCAACAAAAUAUAUUCUUGAAAGGAAAUUGUCAUUGAAUUAAUUAGCUUCAUUUUAAAAUAAAAAUGUUAUUGGAUUAAUGAACUUUUUCUUGAAAUAAAAAUAUAAUUGGAUUGAAAUAAAAAUGUCAUUGAGUCAAUAAAAUUUAUUUAUUUUUUAAUAUUAUUGGAUUAACGCGCUUCUUUUAUAAUAAAAGUACCACUUAAAAGGAAAUUGCUAUCAAAUAAAUGAUCUUUACUUAAAUUAAAAUAUUAUUUAAAAGAAAAUUGACAUUGAAUUGAUGAGUUUCACCUUGAAAUAAAAGUAUCAUUUGAAAGAAGAUUAUUAUCGGAUUGAUGGGCUUUUCUUGAAUUAAAAUACUUUUGAAAGAAGAUUAUUAUCGGAUUGAUGGGCUUUUCUUGAAUUAAAAUACUUCACUUUAAAAUAAAAAUACUUUUUGAAAGGAAAUUUCCAUCGGAAUAAAGGUUUUCACCUUGAAAUAAAAAUAUCAUCUAAAAAAAGUUAUCAUCAAAAUUAAAAUGCUUUUGAAAGAAAUUUGUCAUUGGAUUUUUGGACCUCACUUUGAAAUAAAAAUGCUUUUUGAAAGGAGAUCUCAAUCCAACCAAGAGGUUUUACUUGAAUUAAAAUGUUAUUUAAAAGAAAAUUAUUAUGGGAUUAAAGGGCUACACUUUGAAAUAAAAUACAAUCUUAAUAAAAAAUUAUUAUCAGACUAAUGGACUUUAUUUUGAAAUAAAAGUUGUCAUUGGAUGAAUGGGCUUCUUGGGAAAAAAAAAAUUAUCAUCGAAUUGAUAGACUUGAAAAAUAAUAUCAAGAUUGAAGAUUCUUUUGAAAAUAAAGUGUCAUUGAGUUAAUUUGAUUGAAAAAUGCUCUCAUAAUUAACAGGUUUUGUUUGAAAAAAAAAAUGUCAUUAAAUUAAUAGGUGUUAAAGAAAAAUGCUAUGGUGAAUGAUAGGCAUGAAAAUCAUCUAAUUGUGAGGUGACCAACCUUAACUUGUUGAAGCAACGUAAACAAGGAACUUCAUUAAUCAAUGGAAGGUUAAAAAUUUUAUAUUUUAAAAGUCCAAUCUUUUUUUUUGAUGUGAUUUGUAUCUUUGAAUACUUUUCAACUUUAGAAGUGUUAAGAACCAAGCAUUGUUUUACUUGAGUUGUUUAAGUGAUCCCAAUACUUUCAAUGGUUAUUAUGAGUUCCUUCUAUGUUCUUCACUUUUGAUCACUAGAUAAGCACGGUUUAUCCAUCGUAUUAUCUUGGCCUACAUUAAUCUUACUUGUCAUUUCUUUCAAGUGUAGGUUGAGAGUAUAUGUUCAUUACUUUCUAUUUUUCAUCAUCCUCGUGAAGAAGUUAUAACAUCUACUACUUUUAGCAUAUGAUGGAGUUCUUGAAAUCACUAUUUAGCUAUUGUAUUCCUUAAAAAUAAAUUACCUCAAUUGAUCUAACUAUGUUCAUCUUUUUUAAUUGCUAUUUAUAAGGAACAAAUGUACCAUCAUCAUUAUUUUACUUUGCAAAUUUAGUCAAUUUAAGAAUUCAUUAUAAAACAUUUUUAAACUUUCUUGUUUUAGGACCAACCCAUAAAUUUUAAUAAUUGUGUUCUUAUAGGUCUAAUUAGUGAAGAAAAAAAAAGCUAGGGGUUGUUGGGUCUAAAAGGCCACACCCAUAUACUUAGCCUAAAAGGUAAAAGCCCGUACACAUCUAUGUCUAAAAGACUAGUUCUGCAUCCCUUGUUUUUUUUUUAAGGUAUAAAUAUUUUUUAAUUUCACUAAUAUCAAAAUUAGAAACAUAAAAUUAGGUUUUUAUUCAAUAUUCAAUAUUUAUUUUUAAAAAAUAAAAACCAUGCACUAAAAAAAUUAUAUAAUUUAGUUAGACCUUUUUUCCCUAUUGUUACUUAAGCCAAUCCAUCAUUCUUAUGGAAGAGAAAUCACAUAAAAUUUGAGAAUCAUUUUAUCUAAAGGAGUUUUUAUUUAAAUAAAAUUUAUUUAUAUCAUCCGAAUAAAAUGAAUAAAUGAUGCAAGUAUUUGUUUUUUAAUUGAGUGAACAACACAACACAUUAUUCACUUGGAUACAUAACAUGUCAUUCAAUAUUGUUUUUUUUAGUCACCUCUGCUGAUUGAAAAAUUAGGGUUUGUGUUCGAGAGCCUAAAAAUUCAAUUUUUAACUUGUUUUAACUAGAAAUUUUUUAAAAAAUAUCGUAUAACCUAAAUAAAAACUCAUUUCUAAUAUUAAAACACUAUUAAUUACUUUAAAAACUGAAGAUCCAAUAACACUACCUCCAUUAAACUCUCCUAUUAAAAAUGAAUCUAUUAACACCAAAAUCAUUUUUUUUUGUUAACACCAAAAUCAUUUUUUUUGUUAGAAUGUGUCGAGCAAAUCUUUUCUGUCUCUUCUUUCAUUUUCCGAGCACUAUUUCUCCUCUCUCAAUGCCUAUAAAUUAAAACAUAAUAAAAAUAAAGUUUAGAACUGAAAUAUAAAAUUCUAAAACAACAAGAACCACAUAAUACAAAAAGAAAAAAAAUAAGGGACCAAAAUGAAUUUUGUCACACCUUUUGAAUAGUACAACUAGAAAAAUGAAUUUCUAUGUUAAUUUUGGUCUUUAUUGUUUUAAUUUUUAUUUUAAACAACAACCUAAAAUUCUAUUUUGUAAAAUCAAUCAUUCAUCUAACAUCAAAAUGUUUUAUGAUAUUUUGCAGACAUAAGAGACAAGAGCAUGUAAAUCAAAAUAAAUAAAAAACAAAACAUGACAACUUAACUUAUGAGAAUCAAAUUGAAAAAAAAAAGUUUAAUAACCAAAAAUAAUAGAGCUAAACAUUUGAUUUAAUCACUCUUGAUUUUGAUCCUUAAAAUUUUGAACAAUAAAAUAUGAGAUAAUAAAUAAUGAUGUUUGCUUAAUUAAGAAUCCACAUCCUUUAGUGUUUUAUAUAAUUAUUAUAAUUCUACUCAACUCAUAAACCAAAUCUUAAACCAAGUUAAAUAAGAUAAUCGAGUUUUAUAACAACAUAUAAUUUUAGUAUAUGAAUAUGUUUGUUUUUAUGAUCAAAAUUAUGGUUAGGUAUAUUUUAAAAAUAUGUUUGGUAUGAAAUAAUAUUAAAUUAAUAAAUUUAAUGUCCUAAUAGUAAAAUUAAAAAAUAUAAAAAAAUUUAUUUUAAUAUAUAUAUUUUUUUAAAAAACAAUACUUUAAAAAUUCACCUAACACCUUAAUUUUGAAUUCUGAAAACACUUUCUUCAAGACGAAACGAAACACCACCGCGUUCACAGUUUUAACAUUGAGCCCAAAAAAAACCGAAGAGAUCAUCAGCAAAGAAAUAGAAGAAGAAGUUUGUAAACUAGUUGGUGCAGAAAUCACCGUUGAAUUAAGGUAUGAUGAAUGAACGUAAUUUAUUCUGUCUUCUCCUCAUCCUUUUUCUUCUUUAACCAAAUUUGGAUAGAGAUUUGAGAGAAAUAAUUAUGAAAUCUGGAGGGCAAAGAUUUUGUUUUACCCUUUUGCUUUCUUUCAUUUUUUUUCUGUCUUUCAUUUUGCCUUUCUUUUCUUAGUUUAAUUUUCUCAAUUGCAAUUUAAUUUUAUAGCUAGAGCAUUCUGACCAUUGCGUAUUUGACACAUUAUCCAACUGGGCUCCACGAUCCUAAGAACGAAUUUGAUUUUUUUUUCUUAUAUAUAUAUAUUUAUGUUGUGUGUGUGGGUGGGUCUGGGUGGCAGACAUGGCGCUGAAAUUGGUUAGCAGGAAGCUGGGGAGCAAAUUCUUGCCCAUGCUGUCUUCCACUUCUCCACUGCAUUCACAUGCCACUAGCUUUGGUAGGUUCUUGAGUAAUCAAUGAUUCCUCUUCUUCUUGAGUGUGUCUUUUUUAGUCUGCCUUCUUUGAACUACUAAUUGUUUCUUUUCAUUUUGAUUUGUCUCGUUAAAUUGAACAUCCUGACCGAACCCUCUUAACCACACGUUAGACAUUCUUAAAAAAUCAUUUCAGGAUUCAAACAUGUUCGAGAAGAAGAAAAAAGUCAAAUGGUUGGUAAUGUUUUCAGCAGUGUGGCCUCAAAUUAUGAUCUCAUGAAUGAUUUAAUGAGUGGUGGAUUACAUAGGUUAUGGAAGGACAGGUCAGAAUACUUUGAGGAUGCAUUUUUUAAUGAUUGCUUGUUAUGUUGUAUACUUCACUUUGGGUUCAUGCUGACAUUAGCUACUUUUCUAUGAUGCUUUCUAGACUGGUUUCUAUGCUGAAUCCAUUUCCUGGAAUGAAGCAUCUUGAUGUGGCUGGUGGAACAGGUGAGUACUGAUAUAAAACUAUGACAUGUUAUAAAGAAAAAAAAAGCACUUUAUUUGAUUAGAAAAGCUUUAAUGAAUAGAAAUUGGGAGGUGAAGCCACACCAUGUGGCCAUGUGUAAAAACAACCAUCUGAUUUACAAGGACAUUGUCUCCAGAGCCCAUACAUCUCUUUCCUUUGCAUAGCACCCAAAAGAAUACUAAUAGUGAGAAGACUUGCUUGCGCAACUCUCUUGUUCAACUAUGGUGUAAAAGCAAGUGGCCAACUGGUUCAGCUGCAAAUUUACAAGGAUAAUGUCUCCAGAGCCCUUAAAGUUCGUCAUUUCAUCUCAAGUUGAUUCCAGGUUUUAUCCAUACAAAUCUAGAAACCAAAAUCCCAAGUCUUCCUUUGGUCUCAGUUUGCUAGUAUUAAAUCCUUGGAAAACCCUCUUCAUAUAACCUUUACAUCCACCUUUUAAAUAUGCACGUGCUACUUAUAUCUAGCAAAUUGUUCAACUAAAAUUGAUGAUUGGUAUCUUCUUAUUCUUGUUGUUUUUUCAUUGUUAUCUCAUAGUUUUUAUGAGUUAUAAGAUCUUGAGUUUGGAAUUCUUAAUUGCAGGAGAUGUUGCUUUCAAGAUUCUGGAUGGCAUAAGUAGUAUCAAGCGUAGAGCAAAUCAAGAUCCCAUUAAUGAUCAUUUACAGGAAGAAACACAGAUACAUGUGUGUGACAUAAACCCAAACAUGUUAAAUGUUGGCAAAAAACGGGCUAUAGAGAGGGGUAUGAAUCAGGAACGAUCAGGACUUGAGUGAAAUCCAUGGAUGGUCUAAUUACAGUUUAUUAAUGUCAAUUUCUCGAUGAGUGAUGGUUUUCUUUCCUUUUUUUUUAAUUGACGCUUGCAGGUCUUGGAGAAGACAAAUCACUCAUAUGGGUGGAGGGAGAUGCUGAAGCCUUAAGUUUUGAAGAUAAUACCAUGGAUGGCUACACAAUAGCAUUUGGAAUUAGGAAUGUUACACACAUAGAGAAAGUUCUUGCUGAAGCGUAUAGGUUUGCUCAUAAUUUUGUGGCUUGCUGUUGACAUAUUCACCCAAAUUAUAUGAGACCCUCUUGACAUAAAUUAUAAAUAGCAAGCUAAGGAUCCUCUCAUUAAGAUUAUAAAACUAAACCAUGACAAAUAAUCAUUUCACUACUGCUGAUGCAAUAUCAGGUUACUCUGUUACAGGCUUUUAAGGAUGGCUUAUCUAAUUAGAGGAUCCGAUUGAAUGUUAUGAAUUAAAGGGAAUGUAGCCUUUAUCUUCUAAAUCAAUGUUUAUAACAUAUUUUCUCCAAAGAAAAUGCAUAUAACAAUGACAUUUAUUGGUUACAAUUGCAAAAAUAGCAUUGAACAUGCAUAUUAUCAAGAUCAACAUGUCAAGAAAGUUACUUGAGUUAUCAUGGUGCUACUGUGGAUAAAACCUUCAUCAGUGUCCGAGUAAAGGGGAUCUGAAUCCACUACCAGCUUAAAUUCUGAGGGUAGAGGUUCCUAGGUAAUUUUUGUUUUCCACUUAGAGAGUUGACCUUGUUUGCUCCAAGUUAGGUAAUUGCAUUAAAUGUUUGCUGUUGAAUUUGAAAUAAUGACAAUUAGAAGUGGAAUUAGGUGGUGAGAAAGUUAAAUAUUAGGUUUAAAUUUUAUGAGACCCAACGACUGCAUGGAGAGUUUUUAAAAGAUAUGAGUUGAAGCAUGAAGCUAACAAGAAAAUCGUUUAGAUGAUGACUAUGAAUUUAUUAACACAAAAAUUUCUUAUUUCAGUCUAAACCAUGGCGUAGUUGUGCUUCUUGUUAUGUGUUUUCCAUUCAUUUAGUAAAUGUCUUCUCUUUCGAUAUGUAUGAUCAGCAGGCUUUUCUUCUGUUAUAUGGUCCCCUUUCUUUCUUCAGAAAUUUUCCAGCUUGUGUAAUAUACAUUAAUGUUUCAUGCAAGCUUCAUCUGUUAUUUUAUUAGGGUAUUAAAACACGGAGGAAGAUUUCUUUGCCUUGAACUGAGCCACGUUGAAGUUCCUGUGUUUAAAGAAUUGUGAGUACACCUUCUUACAUACAUUAAAGGAUAAAUGUUAGCAUUUCUUGUAGUAUCAUUUUUAGGCAUUAUUUCAACAAAAUAUAUCCUUUUUCCUGUGUUUAAUUUUUUCUCAAUUUUAAUAAAUUGACAAGUCAAUAAAUUAUGCCAGAAGUGGGCAGUCUUUCCUUUCUGGUAGUGUAUAGGUGGUGAAAUGUUUUUUUACAAAUGAAAUUGAAAAGGAUAAAUUACAAUAACUCCCAUGAGGUGUGGUGAAACUAUAGCCACCACCCAAAAGUUCGAAGUUUUGACAAAAUCCCCCCUCCAUGUUCAAGUAAAUAAGAUAAAAAUCCUCUUUUAUGCCCAAAAUAUUGUUACUGUCAAAGUAGUAUUUUGAAAUCCAUUUAGAAUAUUAUGCUUAAUAUAUAUAUAUUUUGCAAAUCUUCAAAGUUUUGAGUUGUAACAAUAAGUUCACCAUACCUCAGGGUGUUUACUAAUUUACCCGGUUCUGUAACAUGGUUUUCUUCAUCUUUAUUGAAUAUUAACUAUCCAGCCUCUUCCAUUCCAUAGAACAUAGUCAAUCAUAGAGACAAAGGCCUUGGUGUGAUGAAGUGAGAUUGACAGAGAAAUAUUACAUCUUAGUUCUAACCCGAAUUCAAUAAUACAAGUCACAUGCUCCCAUAACCCAUCUUUCUCAUUGGAGUUCUGGAUUCACUUUUCUAUUUUCAUAUUAUUAUAGGAGUUUAUAUUUGUAUUGAUUAUGAAUCUAAAGUUUAUAAAGAGUAGAUUGAUUUAUUUUAUUGUCUCUAAUUGAUUUUUCUGUGCACUACAUACCUGCUGUUAGUCUAUAUACAAUUGUUGUUUCCUAACCAGUUAAUCCCACUAGGGUGCGAACAGAUUGUUAACUGGGAGCAUAAUGUUGAUUGAGAAGAUGGUGAACUUUAAUAAAAUAUGGUCAAAACAUCAUGGCUAUGGAGAUUAGUGUUCUGUAGAUGUUGCAAUACGAAGUACAAAAAGUGGCAAAUACUGUGAUUGAACCAGAUUAACAUUAUGCUCAUGUUGCAAUACAAACAAAACAACUAUAGCAUGUAGAUCCUGAAAUAAAUUAGCUUUUACUAAUUACAUGAACUUUGAAUUGUUAAGAAGAUCUUGCUGUUUCACUUGAAUUUGAGUGGUUGAAAUUUUGUUGAUUAGUUUUUAAUCCUUGCAUGCUCUGGCAUGUGGAAAGCACUCACAUGGAAGACUUUAUGAUUGUUUGUAGCAAGAAAAAGAUAUAUGCUCACUGCUCAAGCUUUAUUCUAUGGAUUGCAGAUGACUUCUACUGUCCCAGCUAAUCUUAGUGAAGCUUAGCUUUCUUUCCACUUCAAUUUGUUUUUUCUUCCCCAUAUUUUUCAGAACACUGCAUCAUCUAUCCUGUUUCAAGAAUGUUCCUUUUUCUUGCAGAUAUGAUUACUAUUCAUUCUCAGUCAUUCCAGCUGUGGGAGAGCUAGUUGCAGGUGAUCGGGAUUCUUAUCAGUACUUGGUUGAGAGCAUACGUCGUUUUCCUCCACAGGUCAUAAUUUUGUCCUACGUACUUUUGCAAAUAUUACCACAAUUUUGCCAAAGUAUCUUAGAAGCUAAGAAAUUGAGUCCACACUAUAGUGUGAUGCCUUUGUAGAACCCUGGAUGUUACAUAUACUGCUAUAACAAAAUCAAGGAAUGAGGUUUUCUAUAUUCCCAAUACAUACUUCAGCGGAGCCUUUUUCUGAAAAUAAGAUAUAAAAUAAAAAUUAAAACAACUGGUGUAUUUUGUGCAUGCAAGUGAACACCUUAUCCUCGAAUGUGGAAACUAGAUAUUUUUAUAGCAACCUUACAUGGUUACAUGGAUUAUUGCUUUUUGCAUAUUCCAAACGUGAAUAUGCACAAGAUAGAAUGUGAUUUUAAUAUGGCAUGCAAGAGUGUUUUAAUGAUCAUUGUACAUGGCUCAAGGUUAUAAAAUUCAUUUCUUUUACUAAAAAAAGAAAAGAAAAGAAUCAACUCAUUUUUAUUACAUUGAACUGCCAGUAAUGUGUUAUCAGCAUGUAUUUUUAUCUGAAACAGUGCAUCUAAGUAUAUAUAUUUUUUUCCUUUAAUUAGAAAGAAAAGGACCCCUCGUGUUUCUAGUCUGCAAAUAUAAUUAGCCAUAAACUUUGCUUCCUACAAACCUUGGGUGCUAUUUAUCAUUAGUUAUGAAAAUAAUAAUCUUUCCAUGCUAUUGAGUCUUCAUGCUAAAAGGUUGCAAACCGACAUAGAAAGCUCGAUAUUAUUCAGCAUUUUUGCAUGACAGUUUAUGACUCAAACCCAUCCUGUGGUAGAAAGCCCGAUAUUUCAAGCUCUAUACCAAACAUUAGCACUUCAACAAAUUAUUAACCAUCCAAACAGAUAAAUUAUGUGCUUUAAUUUUUCAUGCUCUAUGCCACAUUUUCCUUUCACCUAAAUACAUGCCCUUGUGAUUUCAAGUAUCUAUCUAAGUAAACAGAAUCACUUGGCUAAAGUUUGACUAUAUAAAGUAUCAUUUGAAGAAAAUGUAAGCCCAAUAUUUGAUUCAUUAGUUGUGCACUUUGAAAGAUAUUUUCUGCUCGGUGAUCUGCAACUGAUAAAUUUGAACCCUAUGUGUGAAUCCCUGUGAGUUAACUGAUUGGAAUUAAAUUACCUUAGCUGAGAGAGGAGAGUGGGGAGGGAGGCAUGAGGACAAUGGACUAUCUAGGAGCUUAUAUUGCACGUGCUCGCUGAUAACCUGGGUUUAAUUGUGUGUGUGUAUUCACCUUUGUCUGUUAUACUUAAUGACUUAUUGCAAGUGAUGAAUGCAGGUGAAAUUUGCUUCGAUGAUUGCAGAUGCAGGAUUUCAGAAGGUUGAGUAUGAGAAUCUCGUUGGGGGAGUUGUAGCCAUUCAUUCAGGUUUAAAAAUAUGAAGGUGUUCAAGGACAAACCUUAAUUUGUCUCAAUUUUUUCUUAAAUAAUGCAUCUGCAAGUUUUUUGAGGAUGCAGAAAUUUUGUCAGCACACCUAUUAUCCUCUUUCUUUUCUAUUUAGACGUUCAAUUCAGAGGGCUAAUGCAUUUUUUGUAUGGUUUUGGUAUUGAAUAAAUGACUCUUCAGCCUACUCUUUGGUUCUCUAGGCUUUCUUUUUUCCCUUCUCUCUCUGCUUUUUUUUUUCCCCUAAUAGAUAUAUACUAACCUUGUUUCCCUUAAUACGAACUCAAGAUUUUGAUGUAAGAAAAGCAAAAUGGAGUUACUGGGCCAAUAUUAGGGGUGAUUAUUUUCGGUUCGGUUCGGUUUUUACAUGAAAAAAUUAACAAAACCAACAUUAUUAUUUUUAAAAAUUUAAAACCGAAGGUUUUUGUUGUUCAAAAACCAGUAAAACUGAAAAGCAAAUUUCGAUUAUGUUGUUCAGGAACUUGUUUCAAUUUACAUGACUAAGACAUAAUUGAAAGGAAAACAGAUCUGCCCACACAAUACAAGCAAAUCUCGUUUCUGUUGUUCAGGAACUUAUUUCAAUUUAGAUGAUCAAGAUAUAAUUGAAAGGAAAACAAAUUUGCCCAUAAAAUACAAGCAAAUCUUCGUUUCUGUUGUUUAGGAAUUCUAGUUAAAAUACAAGCAAAACCAGAGUUGCAAAUUAUAACAUAAUAAAAAAAACAAACCCAUAAAAUAUCAAGAAAAAUAGAAACGGGAGAACAAUCAAGAUUGGAAGGAAAAUAGAUCUGCCUAUAGUGAAUGAGUUUUAAAAUGAGAGCUCAUGAUUGGAAAGAAAAUAUGUCUGCCUAGUGUGAUGUAAUUUGAUUGAAGUAAAUGGUGAGGGAGAGAAGAGAAUAUGAUGGAGAAGAUAAGAUGAGGGAUGAACUUGCAAGAGAAAAAGGGAGAAAAAAAGGGGAGGGGGCGGGGGAGGGGAAGAUGAUUGGGGGGACCUUUAGGUUAGAGAUUAUUUAUAGUCUCUUUUAUUUUUUUCAGAGUUAAUGAGUUAUGGUUGAACUAGUUCAGUUCUUUCGGUUCAAUUAGUUUCAGACAUUUGAAACCGAAACCGAACCGAACCGGGGAUUAUUCUGGGUUUUCUAAUCGGUUAAUUUAAUUUUUUUCUUGGUUCGGUUUUUUCGGUUAUUAUUUUUCCAGUUUUUUUGGUUUAAUCAGUUUUUCGGGUUUUUUGCUCACCCCUGGCCAAUAUCAGCAAAUUAAAGAAGAUAAUGAACAAUUUCAGAGGAUUGGUUCUCAACGAGUCACUAGUGUGCUUAUUCGGAGGCACAGCGUGACUGCCUGCCAAAGGAACACACACAUGAAAUUGACAGCCAUCAACCUUCAUGGAAGAAAGCAAAUUAGUCAUGAGCAACGUGUUGUUAGUCUUCCAAUAUACAUCUUCAUAAAUGAGAGUAGUAAGCUGCAGAUUGCUUUUCCUCACUCAAACUGAUGCUCUGCAUGCUUUUAACAAAAGAAGAAAAAAAUAAAAUAAAGGAAAGGAAAUGAGAAGACUUGCCUGACCAGAUGAGAAAUGCUGCUGGUGGUGUGCCUGGUGGCCUAAUAUAGAGGUUGGCGUGACUGAGAAGGGGGUUCCUACUAUUCACGGUGUUGUUGGCUGAGGUUGGUCAUUGUGGAGAGGAAGUGUAGAUUUUGCUAUGCCUGAGGCUGGUCACGGAAACACUGUUAGGGUUGAGAUUUGUAACUUUUGCUGUGGAGCUUGAGGUGAAGUUGCUGGAAUCAAUGGUUGUUGAGGGGUCUCUGGUGUAGCUAAAAAAAGGGUUGUUUGCUAAGAUGAGGAAGAAAGGCUGGUUUUAUGUCUUUCAGGAAGAUGGUUUUGGGAUUUUCAAGGUCUGGGAUAAGAGGCUGGUCUUGGGCUUUUUGUGGUGGAGCUGAGAUCUUCCUGGUAAAGGAAAGUAGUGCAAAAGGAUUCUUCAUUUUUUUUUCCUGUUUUUUCUCCCCCUGGUUGUCAUGAGGUUGGUAUUUAAAGGGGGUGAGGGACAUGUUAGACCACCUUACUCAUGUUGAUGAAUUUAUUUUUUCUUUGUAAGAUAUAUAUAACAAUCGAUUGAAGAAGAGAUACAAGGAUGAUCCGUUGACCUAUCCAGAUCUCAAUUUGGAUUUGUGGUUGGAAGCAGGAUCGUUCGGUGGAUUCGAUAGAAAUUAGACGUGCAAAAUAUCUAACACUAUGACCGAGAACUUGUGGACGACCCAUAGUGUUUUGACCGUUGGACACUUGCAGUCGAUUCCAAGCACUCAAACUCUGGAGUUCACAACGAUGUUAGAUCAACGAGUACAGACUCAAACGACUCGUCUUAAUGAAAAAUAUAAAAGACUUAUUGUUGAUUAUGAAGAACUCCGCUAAUUGGUAAUGAAGAUGACAUCAUAAAUGGAUGGUACAUAUGCAUCUCCUAAUUGGCCCCAUGGUCCUGUUAAUGAUCAGCCUCCUCCUCCUCCUCCAACGUUGCCUCUAUUUUAGAUUUAUUGUAUUUGAACGUACAAAUGUUUAAAUUUGUAAUAAAUAUUUGAUUUUUAUAUUAUUUUAAUUAUUUUUCUACUUCUGUUCAAUAUAUUUUUCUUAAAAAUAUUUUAAAAAUAUUACCAAUGGGGUUAUCGACGGAACAAACCUGUCAAUAUAUUUAGAGAGUUGGAAAAGAAUUAUUACAAAUGCCACUGCUAACUCACCGACAAAAUUACAGAUGGUAUUAUGUCGGUGAUAUGUUAUAUUUACCGAUGGAUAUACCAAUGGACAAAUAAAAACAUCGAUGGCAUUACAUACAGUUCUCUUGUUAGGGAUAUAUUAAAUUUAUCAAUGAAUAUACUAACAGAAUGAAGUAGGUAAAUUUUUUUGGCAUGCUUUGUCCAUUUGUAAUCUAUCAAUAAAUUUCUUAAUGAUAGAAUCACCGAUAUACCAUAAAUUAUCGACGAGAGUUUUUUUAAUGGACUGUUUCCAUCCAUGAGCUUGUCGGUAAAAUACAUUCUAAAAGAUUAUGAGUGUAAAUAUUAACAUAAAUUUUUUUUGGUAAAACUAUUAAAUCCGGUAGUGCAAAUGAUCAACCUAAACAUAAAACAUGCUAAGUUGUCUUUUAAACUACCUUUAUCAUUAUAUUACUAACCUUAAAACAUCAACCUAUGCAUCAAACAAAAACAUGAACAUAUAUAGGCAUACCAAAUUACGACAUAACUGACUAUCUAAGCACAAGCAUCUAUGACAUAUUAAACUAGCAAAGCAAUCAUAGUGGUGCACAGUAAACAUUCAAACAUGAAUUUAAAAGACAAAUAAAAGAGGGUGUGUACUCACUGAGCUACACCUCAUCAAAGUUGAAGAUAUACCUUGUAAGGGAAAAGUUGAUUCCUUCUCUAAAUUGUAUGCUUCUUUCCUCUUGAUUUCUAAUUUCUUUUUAAUCUAGAAUUUGUUUUUUGCUUCUCUUACUUCUUUCUUUCUCAUCUUAGCACACCAUUCUUAUAGUUUUUUUCUUAACCAACUCUAAGGUAUUUUCUAUCAAUACUUAUGUGUUUCCUCUUUAUUUUCUUCAUGUGAUUUCUAUCUCUCCAAAUCAACCUCCCCUGUGCUCAAAAGCGAAUGCCCUUUUAUAAGCAAUCAAAAACUAGAAAUUUCAAAAUCAUGGUGGUUUUGCGAAGAAGUUUAAUGGAAGAAUCUUAUCCUUUCUCUUCCACAACCUUCCUUUUUAAAAUAGGUGGUGCCUUGUAAAUCAAAAUCACACUUGAGAAAAUAGCCUUGUAGUCUUUUAUAUCAUGGUGAAUUUUUCUUCGGUCAAAAUUAUUGGGUUAGGUUCUUUUCAAACUCAUUAUGAACAUUAAGCCAUAAACAUAUCCGUGAUAGACCUAAACCUUGUAAAAUGGAUGUAGAUGUAUUAUUAGAAACAAACCACACUUGAUUUAGAGGUCUAGAAAUCCAUAUUCAUUGAUUGGAAGAUAAGCUCUCGAUCAGAUUGAAUCUACCAAUGUAGAGGUGGAUGAUCAGGGACAAGAUGAUGAUUUUAUUGAGCCAGAUGAGAUACAAACAUGUGAUGAAGAUAAUUGGUCCUUGUAGAGCAGAUGUUUUUCAAUGGAGUGGUGGUGGUUAGAGCCCCUGAGGUGGUCAUAGAUGCCACAUUUAUUCGCCUAAAAAUGGUAUCUCGAUCAAUUUUCGUCUGUUGAAGAAGAUGGUAAACAGGAACUGGACGACAUGUCACUCAUUAUCUUUGUUAAAAUCAAGUGACAUGUCGCAUAUCUUAACCCUAGAAUUUAGAGUUUCUAAUUGGGAAUUUAAUAAACUUUAAUUUAGUCAUUGUUUUUUUUUAAUUUCAGCAUAAACACCCUUUACUUUUUACAAUUACACCCCUGAAAACCUUGAUUAAAAUCCUUUGAUUUGAGCGCCUUUUGUAAUUUGAUCCUCAAUUUUCACAUUAAACAAUUUAACCCCUGUCAAGCAUCAAACUUUUAGUUUCUCUCAAAUUGAUCCUUGAUUUGAUUAAUUUCAGUCCUCGAACUCAGAUGCUAUUUGCACUUUGGUCUUUAGUUUUGAAAUUCUUUAACUUGACCCUCAAUUAGCCUUCAAUCUUAAAAUAUCUUUCAAUUGAACCCCUGAUGGCACCAAUUUGACAUUUCAAAGUUUCAAUUGUGUCUUUUCUUCAAUUGAGUCCUCAAUUGAAUCCAUAAAAUCCAUUAGAAGUUUAAUUAAGUCCUUCAACUUAAUUAAUUCUUUCAAUUUUUGCCUAAUUGACUUUCAAACUUAUUUUUUAUCUCCUCGUGUGCCGAAGAUUUUUUUGGAUUUAAAAUUUUUUAUUUUUUAAUAAAAAUUAUGUAUUUUUAUAAAAAAAAACAUUUAGGGGUUUUAAAAUUAGAUUAUGACAAUACCUAUAAAAUAAAAACUCCAAAAUAUUUAUUUUUGGAACAAAUGUUUUUCAAUUUAUUCCUACGUGGGCAUUCUUAUGGAAAUUAUAGUAGCUCAUUCCACCAUAAACUAAAAUUUCAAGACAUAAAUAAAGUCAAAAUAAUCAUUAAUUUAAUUUGGGAACCAAGGUUGUUCCUACAAUCUUUAGGGUCGAUAAAAUAUGACAGAAUUAAAAAAUCAAUUUAGCACUAAAAAAUUCCAUGAUAAAUAUAAUUAAAUAGAUUAAUUAAUUUCUUUGAGAACAAGAAUUCUUAGACAAAUAUAUCAACAUCAAUAUCAAGACAGGUAUUAUAAUUAUGGCUCUGAUACCAACUGUUAGAUUUGAUAGAUCUAAACAUGUUUCCAAAACAAUUUAUAUUUAGAUCUGAUGUGGAAAAAUAAAUUGAUCAAAAUAUAUUUUCUGAUAUUGAUGAAAAACACUCAUGGAAUUUUUUUUAAGAUUUUGGUACUUCAAAGCUACGACACACUCAAAUUUAAUAGUUUAUUUCUUUAAAUAAAAGUCUGUAUUUCAGUAUAUGAGCUUAGAGAUCAAAAAUAUGUAUUUAUAUAAUAAAAGUCUCGUUAAACUUUUAUUAAUAUAACUCUAAUGCCAUUAAUUUAAGAAAUAUUAAUAUGAAAGUUAAUUUGUUACAUCAAUUAUUAAAGUUCUUGAAAAGAAAUUAAAUCUCAAAAACAUCACUUUAACAUAAAGAUGUAGGCUUAUGUACUUAGAUUAGACACUGUGACGCGUGCAGGCAUAAAUGAUUUAUGACCAGCUCCCUCGAAAUUCCACUUCAAGAAACUCAUAAUUAAAAGUUCAAAUAAUUGUACUAUAGAAAAUAAGAUAGAAGAAUGGGAAUUUUCAGUAACCCCUUCCACAUCAACACUGUCAAAUCACUCAACUUUGACUCAACAUUAUGGAACUCGUAAAAUAUCUGUAUUAUGAAGUAAUUAAGGUUCAAACAUGCUAAAUUUUUUAUUUUAUAGUAUUUAAUUUAUAAAGUUUUUUAGACAUAUUAAAAUUAUAAAAAUAACUUUCAAUAAACUUAAAAUACAUUAAUAAAUAUAGUGUAAAAAGAAUAAAAACAUAUAUAUAUAUACAGUGGCAGAUGGCCUAGCAAAGCUACUCUAGGAAAUUGAGAACAGGAGAGAAGAGUUUAAAGAAUGUCAUAUAUACUUGAUUUUACAAUUUACAUCCCUGUUUAAUUUAUAGGUUGUUUCUGUUGUGUCUCUCUUGCUGUCGCAAGAUUGUUGUAGCUAGGUUUAUUUUCCUUAACAGGGACGUAGAGAUUCUGCAGAUUAUACAAAUUGACCAUAGAUUGCUUUUCCAUUUGCAGUCUUGGCCACCAUCUUACUGGCUGCUGCUCAUCUUUAAUAAAUCUCGACUUCGUAAAAAUAAAAUAAAAUAAAUAAAGAUCAGGGAUUGGUGGGUUUUUGAGAGACAAUGCUAUUCACUUCUCAUAUAUUUUUUCAUCUUUAUCUGGUACUAUAGAUUCAAAUGAGGUGGCUGACCUUCUAAGCAUAGCAUAGUCUAGAUAGGGAUAUGAAAUUUUUGGAUUGGCUGUCAUCUUGAUUUAGCAGACUGUGUAAUCUCAAGCCACUUCCUUGCUGGCUAUUUUUCCCAUUUUAUUAAUUAAUUAGAUUAUCAUUAAUUUUUUUUUUGAUACGUUAUUUAUAGUAUCAUAGUGGAGUAAUUUUUAGUGGUAAAUUACUAUUUAAACAUUCAUGUUUAUCAUGGUAUAGUUUUAUUUUGCGCCUCCAAAAUAUAUUAUAUCCCAUAAUGGUAAGAAUUUGACGCAAAAAAAAAAAAUAUAGCAAUCAUAUAUAUAUAUAUAUAUAUAUAUAUAUAUAGAAUUUUAUAUAUAAAAAUAUUAAUCUUUACCAUAAGAAACCUAAUUUUAUUUUUUAUUACUCAAUAUUUUGAUAAGAGGUCCCAAGAUAUGAUUUAUAUUAUUCUCUAACACACCCUUUCAAGUGAAAAUCUUUUUGAUUUGAAACUUGCAGAAACCCAUAUUACCUUGUGCUUAAUUUUUUUUAUCAAAUAAAUAGGGAUAAUAAAAUUCGAAUACCAUGUUAAAUAACCAAUUCAACCCAAUAACUUAAACUGUUAGGUGAGGUCUCAAGAUAUGAUUUAUAUUAUUCUCUAACAUAUUACAAUUCUCUUUGGUUGUUUAUAACAUAGUUUUGAAACCCGUCCUGGCCCGACGGGUUGACCCGGGACUCGACCGAUCUGGGACUGGAACCUGGCCGGGUUUAAAAAAAUAGAGGAAGUUAAAACCCGAUGUGACCCGGCAAGACCCAGUCAAACACCCGGUUGCAACUCGUUGACUUUUGUUUUUUGUUUUUUACUAAAAGGACGUCGUUUUUAUUUUUUGAAAAAAUCAAAAUUGACCUGGGCGACCCGGUGACCCGGGCCUUGGGCAGAGUCGACCACCGGGCCGGGUUUAAAAACUUUGGUUUAUAUAAUAGUAAAAACAUCAUAAACAAAGCUAAAAGAGUUCUAAAUUAAAUACAAAAGAAAUAAGUUUUAAUUUAUACAAUUGGAUAUGUGUGUUCACAAUCAGUUUAGAAAUUUGUUGAGAUAGACUUCACAUCAAGUUGGAGACCUUGAUUUUGUGUUAUCAGUAUAGAAAUUUGUUGAGACAUUAAUUAACGCUAGCAGCAGAAGCCAUCAUCUUUAAACCUAUCAUGUCCGUACAUACGAGAUUUCACAGAUAUAAAUAUAAAAAUGAAGUUGUUUUGGUUUAUGUAAGUACGUAUGCAUCCUUCUUUCAAUUUUAAUGGCAAGAGUAUCUCCGAAUAGACUUCUAUACUUUAAGAAUAAAUCCUUCUAUGAAUGGAGUUUAAGUAUGAUAUCCAAAUGAUUAAGGAUUAAGUAAUUAUUAUUGCUUCUUGAGACUAAUGCCUAAAAGCAAAUUUUAUUGGAAUUAUAUUGUGAAAGGCUAUGAAGAGACAGUAGAUAUGUCUUUCCAUUGUUCUUACAGUCACAAUAUUUUAUUCUCUAAGAACUUAUCGUCUUCUCCAUCAGAGCUGAGCAUGAUUGAUAUCGUAAGCAUCAGAAUCAUCAAGCUUCAGCUUAACUAGUUCGCUGAUAUCAUAUGGAUAAGCGUCCUUUGGUGACUGACGUUUAUAUGCUCUUUUUCCAAAGGCCCAAGCUUUAGCUUCAGUAAAAUGGGCUCCAUCCCAGUACACAUAGUCACUCCUGUUGCUACAUGGGAAGGAGAGAGAUUUACAUGGGACUGAACCAGGUUCUACCUCGCAACAGCUCUUACGGGUUUGUGUAAAACCUGCAAGCAAGAAAAAAUAACAUGGGCAUCAGAGGCGUAACAAAAAAGUCGCCUUCAACCGUGAGAGAAAGAGAGCAAGGGAGGGAGGGGAUUCGUACCUGUAUUCGUCUGAUCAUCAGAAUCAAUUUCGUAAGAGUUUAUGUAGGUAAACACAGCAUCAGUAUGCCUAUCAUUAAGUUUUCUGAGCAGUUCUUGAAGCUUGUCGUUGAAAAUUUGAACAUAAUCAUUGAGCUUGUAAGCACAUGUAGAUGCAUCUAGUUCAUUGGGAUUUUUUUGUAUGUUGGACGGCAUACAUCCUACCCGAAUAAGUCCGAACACAGCUAUCUUUCUUGCUCCUGAGCAAUACAAUUUCUGGCAGCAAGGGAAAAAAAAGGGAAUGAAGUGGGGGUCUUUGUUAGUUUCCAAUCACGUCAAACAUUAAUUGCUGUUUUACAAGAGACAUUAAGUAGGGCUGGCUGACCUCCAGCUGAGUUUCAUAAGUUUCAAUGAGAAGUUGAGCAUAUUCUUCAGGAGUAUAUAGCUUGCUGCUAUUGUAGUCGUCCAAGAAAUAAUUGUUGAGGUAGUCGUUAUGACCCAUAUCAGACACAUAGAUGCAUUGGCUUAAGUACUUCCUAGCAACUUCCUCGCUUCCCAAGAUCUUGGCAAUUCGUGAAACCGUGAUAUUGUGAUUAUAUAACUGAAUAUUCAUGGUAUAUAGUUCUCCCUUCACAUACACAAAAGAAUCAUAUGAAUAGUUAGCGUUGCCAAAGCAUACAAGAUUCAUAGUACUGAAUAGUAUAAGGUUUUAGUUAUGAGAGGCAUAUGAUCAACAAUCACCGUAAGAUAGCCAGUUAAAUCAAGGAUGCCAGCUCCAUUCGAUCCAUAAUUUACACCAUCUAGAAAAUCGGAGCAACUUCCGACACCAAAGUCCGAAAUGUAACUGUCGAAACCUAAUUGUUCAGCUGAAACAAAAAAUAAUAAUAAUUAAGAUCUUCAUAAUAGAGUAUAAAAACAAUAACAAUGAUCACAGCUAUCUAAUUGUAAUUUAAUAAAACGGUCACAACUAUCUUUUAUUUUCCAUUAAAGAAAACUAAAACACUAUAUUUAAUUUGUAAUAUAAGGGAGGAGAGCAAACUGCAGACCAAUGGUGUCAGCUAUGUUGAGACCGUUGCUGCACCUUCCUGAAGCCCCAGUAUCAAAGUCAAUCCCAUAAGGAAGGUAAUUAACUUUAGCUGGAGUGCUAAGGUAGUUAUUGUUUCCGUUAUCAAAGAGGGAAUCUCCAAAGACGAAGUAGCAAGGAACUUGAGGUAUGGCCUUUCCAGAAGUCCAGUGUUGCCAGUUUGACACCAGCAACACCACAGACAACACCCACAAUACCUUAACCCCACUUUCCAUUGACAAAUAAAACGAAAGAAGGAAACAAAAACAGUAAAUAUAGAAAGAAGGAAGAAGUGCGCUAGCUAGGGAAGAGUGCUUUGAAGUAGAACGAACCAGGCCCUAUUUAUAGAGUGGAGAUCUAGCUAUCAGCUUGUAAAUGUGUUGUUCUAUUGUAAGCCACGUGUUUUUUUCAAUCUAAUUAGUUUACAAUGCCUUAUAGAUCUGAUUUUUUAAUUCAACGUAACAGUAAGUAUCCUUGAAUCUUGUCACUUAUAGUAUUUCCUCCUAAUAGUUAGAAUUGUGUGGUUUCUUAGGAGUUUGCUUUCUGCUCCUUCUAACAUCAAUUAUCUCAUACAUUUCAUACAUUCUCUUGAUAUCAAAUCAGUAAUUGUUUCUUUCCUAGUAGGCAUAUUAGCCUUUUUUUAGCUUUCUAAUGCAAUAAUUUUGAACGAUUUUUCUUUUCGAGUUCUAUGAUCAAUAUAAGUUGUUGUUGUUUCACUUUUUCAAACUUCUCUUCAAAAUCGAAGUCAGUAAUUGAAUAGGCAAUUACACUUUCUUCAAAUAGCCAACUAGGUAUAUCCUUUCAAGUGGUUUUUUAUGUUUGUUUAUUUUUUAAAAAUAUUUUUAUAUCGAGUAAUAUCAUCUAAAAUGAUGUAAAUUAUAUCUGAAUACUUAAGAUUUCAAUGUAUCACUUUCAUAAUUAACUUAAUACUUAGUUAUAACUAUAGUGCACUUUGUUCACCAAGUCUUAAAACGAAGACCAUAGCUUCUAUGCACUCCUCAAGAUCUUGGACAUCCUAGCCAAGCUAGUCAACGUUAUUUCUGGUUUUGUUUUAUAAAAAGGCUCAUGAAAAUAGCCUUGCAUCUCUUCCCGCUUAUUGUAUAGUUAGAUAAGUGGGCAAAACAAUAUACAUAGUAUACAUAAAAGCAAUUUUUAGGAAAUAUAACUUGUAGUUUGUUCCAUGUUUCAUACACCAUGCAUAUUGCUAGCACCAUCAUAUCAUUAACCUUGUAUAUUGAGAAUAUACAAGUUAUAUCAAGCGAGCACAUCGAAUUUUUUUUGUUUAUGUUGGUUUAAAUACCAUAUUUGUUAAUAUGAUAUUUUGGAUGAUGGUUUCACAAUAGUUUUUGAAGAGAAUUAGCAUUCAAUUUGCAACUGAUUUUUAACAUGAGUUAUAAAUAAAUCAGUUCAACUAAAGUUCAAAUUUGUUAGUUGCUAAAAUCUAAUAUCUAUUAGAAGUUUAGUUUUUAUUAUUGUUGUGUGCAGAUCCUGAGUGUCCUUUUGAUUAACCAAGCAAGCAAGGAAUGAGAUUUAUUAUAUAAUUAAAGUGCAGAUUGAAUUCAACAGAACCAUAUGACAUUCAAUUCCAGCUUCUUUUAAAUUAAUAAGUCAUAAUAUAAUGAUUAAGUUCCUAUAUUAACAAUAAAAAAAGGUCAGAUAGGCUUCUGGUUUAGGCCUUUAUACCUUGUUUAGAACUUUUUUUUUAUGGGAUAUUUUUUAAUUAUGCUUACCCUUUUAUACAAAAAAAAUUAUAAAAAACAUGAUAAAAAAUUGAAAAAACAAAAUAGUGGUUUUGUAUGUGCAUAUGACCGCAUCCUAAAUAAGAAUGUUUGUACCCAGGAGGUCCUGGCGGAGCGGUUAGGCGCGCUCUCGUCGCUUACGAGGUCUGGGGUUCAACCCCUCUCUUCGUCUGCAGCCGGUCUCUUGAGGAGCCCUUGCCACCCGGGGCGGAGAUUAGCCUGGGCGAAGCCUGGAAUACCCUGGUUCACAAAAAAAAAAAAAAAGAAUGUUUGUGCAUUUUUAACAAAAAAAUAAAAAUAAAAAAAUGAUUUUUUAUAUAUUUUAAAAAUAUCAAAAAUAGAUUUGUGUUCUCUUGUAUUUGUGGAUUUGCCAUAAUCAUUACUGGAUUUACUAACAAAAUUAUUACGGGUAAAGUUUUUUAUUUGACAUGAUAACUUAUUCGAUAAAUCAGCCAAUAAUUAUAUUAUCAAUGAAAUAAAAAUUAUCAAUGAUAUGUUUUUUUUUUAUGAUAAUUUUUAUUUGGUAUUUUAACAAUAAUUGUACGACGGAUAGAUAUUCAGGCUUUGAAAACCAACAAAUCAAGCUUUAAAUCUAUCAGUAUAUUAAUUAAUUGUAUAUUAUCCUUAUAUUAGAGCUACGACGUCAUGCUACACUGGAUCACCCAUCCAAAAUCAUAAUUGAAAAAUAAUACUCACACACACACACACAUGUAGGCGUUCAAAUACAAAGGAAAAAUGGCUAUGGAAUGUAAUAUUAUUAUUAUUAUUUUUUAAGAGAAUUUUUAUUCAUCAGCUGUGUACGCAUAAUUAUAAGUGGCGUUUAUCAAUCGCAUAUUGUUUGUAAAAUCAAAUCCUAAAAACAAUUUUAACACGACACGAAAAAUACAAAAUAAACUUGUAUCGUAAAAACAGAUCGUAAAAUUAUAAGAAAUUUUAAAAUAUAUAAAAAAAAUUUCAUGGUUCAAAUAAAAAUUCAUACAUAGUUUAAACACUUUAAAAUACAUGUUUCAAAUAAAAAUUUAUAUAUAAAUAUAUAAUUUAAAUAAAAAUGAUAGAAUAGCUUAAAUUUUAUGUCAAAUUAAUAAGUUGUCGCGAUUGAGAAAAAAAUAAAAAUAAUAGAAGGGGUAAGUUGCCAAACAUGUUAAAUCAAGAUAGAAAAGACAUGAAAAAUGACAAGAGCCGUCUAGCUUACACAAACAUUAAUCUAAAAUAACAAGGAGACAUUAACAGUGAAAAGUACAUACUGUUUCGUUGUUUCUCGUGCUGCACAUAUACUGCACCAAAUGCCAAUAGUCGGCCAACACUUGUAAUAGCAAUUAUAAUUUUAUAUUUUACGGGUAAAAUCGUUAAAUCAGUUGUAAAAUCAUAAUUUUACAUGAUUUUACAUGAUUUUAAUAAUUUUACCCGGUAUUAUCUAUUUUCGAGUUUUAUGAAUGAUUUAACAUGUAAAGCUUAUAUUGAUUCGCAAAAUCGUAUAAUUUUAUGAGUUAAAUCGCAAUUUUAACAAUUCUAAUCUUUAUAUUUUAGAAUAUUCGCUUAUUAAAAUAUCUUGGAACGAACUUAUCACCUGGAAACGAAAAUUGAGGUUGACAAACUUGGCAAUUACUGCUAUUUUAACAUCUUCAGGCCUGUCUUGUAUCCAAUGUCGUUUACCAGAGCAUCAACUCCACCUAAAUAAGAGGGCACAUGCAGCAUUUGCGCGGUUCAGCUUUUCUCAAACCUUAUUUUUCACCUUUGUCACUGCUUCAUUGCUCUUCUUGUUACGCUACGAUCACAACCAAAAUCAUAAUUCGAAAAAAAUAAAAAUAUAAAAUAUAAAGCGAUCAAUACAAAGGAGAAAGGGCCAUGGAAUUUGAGUUUUUUAUUAUUAUUUCUUUAGAGAAAUUUUAUUCAUUGUCUGUAUGCGCAUAAUCAUAAGUGGCGUUUAUCAAUCACUUAUUGGUGUUGGGGCCCACAUGAAACAAAAUCAUGUAGGUAGGUUACCCGUAAAAAUAGAUUGGUGUGAAUAUAUGUGGAUAAGUUAUCCUUGAAAAUAAAUCACUUUAAGGGAAUAUUUAUUACUACUUAAUUUUUUAUACAUGAUUUUUUAUACAUGUUUUUGAUAAAUUUUCAGAAAAAAAACUAAAAAUAACAAAAAACAACAAAAAUUAUAAAAAAUUAUAUUUUUGAUAUAUUUGCAUCGUUUUUAGUAUUUUUUAAUAUUAAUUUUAAAAAAAUUAAUUUUUUAAAAAUAUUUUAAACGUGUUUAAUUUUUAUCGUAUUAAUUUUAUAAUUAUAAAUUAUUUUUAUUGAGUUGACGUUAAUAUUAUUUGUUUUUAAAAUAAAUACAAAAUAUAAAAAAUAAAAAAAAUGGAAGGAAGAAUGUAAUUGUAGGCUUGUAGCCUAGCCACACUUUUUUUUUUUUUUAAAUAACAGUCUACAGUGGGGAAAAAAAGAGAGGAUAGAGGCAUGGGCUAUUGGCGCAGAAAUGGCGAAAAAAAAAAUAACCCUGCAUCUAUCUCUAGGGACGGCUGCCGCCUCCCUCCCUUGAGGCCAAAGACAAACCAGAGCUGCCACACCAACACCCAUCGUCCCUCUCAUCUCUCAGCCCCCACAGACUAACCUCCCCUGCACACCGGGUUCCACAAAUCCACGGUCUCCCUCUCUCGGCUCUCCCAGAACCAGAGGCCGGCCGUGGCCCCCUUGCCCUCUGUCAAAAACACAGCAGCCGCCGCCCUCCUCUUCCUCUGCUUUUCUUCCCCAAAACCGUUCCCCAGCGCCAUUUUCCCCUCUCGCCAGCCAAAGCUUUCCCUUUCCCUCAGCCCCAAAACAAACCAAAACCGGCCAUUUCCAGUUUCUGGUCCCAUAGCCGGCCGUCAACACAAACUCCCAGUCUCUCCCAGCAGCCGUCCCCAGCUCUUCCCCACACACGCCUGGACACGCCAGACCUCCCUACUCUCAGCCAACGUGAACAGCCGCCUCCAGCGUUCCCUCUCUCCAGAUCUCGCCAACCAGCAGUAGCAGCAAAGACGCGACAGAAACCCAUUCGCCAGCAGCACCUCCUUACCGCCAGCGACCUGAAGCAGAGGAGAAGAAGGCGAAAUAAAAAAAGAUCUGCAGUGAAACAGAUCUGAAAAAAAAGAAAGAAGACCGAGAACAGAUCAUUGCUUGUUGCGUUCGUUUUGGUUUUUACCCUUUUGCGGGCAACGGCGGUCCUCACAGUCAGCAGGGAAGGGAAGAAGAAAGCAUGACAGAUCCACCCGUUUCCGGGCAUUACCAGCGGCGGCGCGUGAACCCACUCGCCGCCAGUUGCGAUGGCGCGUGGAAAAGACGCGCCGCCACUGUUCAGCCGACCCAAAGGCUUCACCGCACUGUUCCUGUUGACUUGGGGCUUCUGGCACUGUUCAUGAUUUUAGUUUGGGGCCUUUUUUGGUAAAUUUAAAUUGUUUAGUGUGUUGUUCGGAUUGUGUUGAAAAUUGAUUAUUUUGUAAUAUCUAGUCUGAGAAUAUUACAGUAAAAAAAAAAGAAAAAAAAAAGGGUGAUCUGUGUUUUUUUUUAAUGUAUGUUUUGUAAAUGUUAAAAAUCAAAAAGAAAAAAAAAUUAAUGAUUUAAUUUGUAUAUGGUCAUGGAUACGAAGAAUAAAUAAAAUUAUGUUAUAUUUCUUGUAAAAAUAUAAGAAUAUGUUUAUUAAAGUUUUAAGAAUUUAAUUAACAUUUUAAUUUUUUAAAUUAUAUUAAAUCUGGAAGCAGUAAAGAAUGUUAGGGGUGUUAAUAUUUUUUCAAGCUACAAUUAGUUUUUUAUCUUAAAAUUUUUAAGAAUAAUCAAUAUACUUGAGUUUCCUUUAAUUAAAUAUUAAGUGAUGAUUUUCAAAUCAAGCCAACGAGUAAAAAUUGCCAUUGACGCCACGCGAGGCACGACUGACAGUAAGAAAACUUCUUUCUUUUGCUGCUUUAUCUACACAACAUCCUAUGCAAACAAAUGACAGUCUAAAACCAAGGAGUCUUUGCAAAAGUCUUAGCAUAAUGACAUAACUCGAUGAAUACCAGCACAUAAAUCGACGGGAGCAACCUAAAAUCCUAGAUCAAAGCUAGCAGCACACAAACAACCAAGUGGUCACCAGCUGAUCACCUAACAACAAUCGGAACACCCUUAAGAAUUCAAAACCUGACGGCACACUUCACUGACAACUAAAUAAAAAAAGAGCAAGACUAGAAAUAACACACCACAAUUAAAAGAGAAAGCGAAGAGCAACAUGGAUUGUUCUACAAAGCUGCCCUGCACAAGCUGGAUAGUUAAAGGAAAAUACAAACUAAAAAGGGUAGUUUUAUUAAAAUCUAAAAUAUGAUACACGUAGCUAUGUUUAUUCAGCCUAGUAUCUAGUUUCUUUUCAUUUUCUAUCAUUUUUUAAAAUUGUGUUUUUUUUUGCAUGUAAUCAUGCUGGUCAUCAAAGGAAGACAUAAAAUAGUUAACCAAACUAUGAAAUGUUAUAAAAAUUCCUUUGUGUUAUUAUUUUUUCGUGACAUCAAAGAUAACCAAUCCAGGAUGAAAACAACUCCAAGCCCCUGCAAGAAACACAAAAUCCACACCAAAACCGUGGAAAGGUUUUGAGAAAACCACACUCACUCAGGUGGAGAUUGCGUUUAUUUAUAUAGAGAAUGUAUACAUGUGUAGCUGGAAUACUAAGAAGGAAAGAAUCAUAACAUAAAUACAAUAUAUUACAUUCAUAUAAUUAUGAGCUAAGAAUCAGGAGGGGAUUCUGGAGAAUCCCCAACACCCCCCGCAAGCUAAGCAUGGGAUUAGAGCACAUGCAUAGCUUGGAGCGAAAGAAUGUGAAGAGUGGUCUGGAAACACUCUUGGUAAAGACAUCUGCAACUUGAAGAGUAGAAGGAACAUGUUGAAUGCGAAUACGACCAGCGACCACAAGUUCUCGAAGAAAAUGAUAGUCAAGAUCGAUGUGCUUGGAGCGCUUGUGAGAGACUGGAUUGGAGCUUAAAAAGAUGGCACUCUUGUUAUCACAGAGAAGUAGCGGUCGAGCUGGACGAGGGACGUGUAAAUCACGCAGGAGAUGAUCUAACCAUAAAACCUCGGCAGCAGUGGAAGCAAGGGCACGAUACUCAGAUUCACAGCUAGAACGAGAUACCAUAGGUUGCUUCUUGGCACUCCAGGAGACAAGGUUGUCACCGAGAUAGAUGGAGUAACCAGAAAUGGAGCGCCUAGUGUCAGGGCAUCCAACCCACUCAACAUCAGAGUAAGCAAUACUGGUAGCAGGAGAGGAGGCAGUGAAUGAAAGGCCAUAGUGAAGAGUGCCCUUGACAUAUCGAAGGAUGCGCUUCACGACUUGAAAAUGGUCAUCAGUGGGAGCAUGCAAGUAUUGGCUAACGAAGUUUACUGAAUGAGCAAGAUCAGGAUGAGUGAUGAUCAAGUAUUGCAGAGCACCAACAAGAGAACGGUACAGAGUGAUAUCUGCAAACGGGGAACCAACGGAGGAAAGAUGUUGAGCGACAACUAUAAGAGUGGAUACUGGUUUGCAAUCAAGGAGUUGAGCCCGUGUAAGAAUGUCGCGAGCAUACUUGGUCUGACUGAGAAAUAGUCCAGUUGAGGUAGAGGUGGCUUUAAGACCAAGAAAAUAGCUGAGAGAACCUAAGUCCUUGGUGGCGAAUUCUAAGUGAAGCUGUCGAAUGAAGCUGCUAAGAAGAGAGUUAUUGUUGCCAGUGAGGAUAAUAUCAUCAACAUAGAGUAAAAGAUAAAUGAUUUGCUGCUGACGAUGCAGAACAAAUAAGGAGGUAUUAGCACAGCUGCAGGUAAAACCAAGUUUCAAAAGAAAUGAGCUGAAUCGUUGAAACCAAGCACGGGGAGCCUGUUUUAGGCCAUAAAGAGCCUUCUUCAGUUUGCAAACAUGCUGAGGAAAGUGAGGAUCAACAUAUCCAGGAGGCUGCUCCAUAUAAACAUGUUCCUGCAAAAUACCAUGAAGAAAAACAUUUUUAACAUCAAGUUGACGAAGAGGCCAACCAUGAGUGAUUGCUAGUGACAGCACUACAUGAACAGUGGAAGCUUUGACUACUGGACUAAAGGUGUCAGUGUAGUCAAGACCAGGGAGUUGAGUGUAUCCUUUAGCAACAAGACGGGCCUUGAGUCGGUCAAUAGAUCCGUCAGACUGAUACUUCAUGCGAAAAACCCAUUUGGAACCCACAAUGUUUGUUUUGGGAGGUCGAGGAACAAAAUCCCAAGUGCAAUUUUUACGGAGAGCGUUGAGUUCUUCAUCCAUAGCAGCGAGCCAUGCAGGGUUUUUUGCAGCAGUCUUGAAUCCACGGGGCUCAGAUGUAGUGAGGAGGGCAUGUAAGAGACCCGAGACAUGUUGACUCAGAUAAGUGGGGUAACGUGGCCGAAAAAUGCCUGCUUUAGCUUGAGUGACCAUCGGGUGAGAGGAUGAAGCAGCAGACUGAUCAUGAUGAUGAGCUGGAGCUUCAGAAUGCAAUGGAGCUUGUGUUGGAGGAUCAGGGGCUUCAGAAGAAGCUGGGGUGUGCUGUGUGGAAGACAUCUGAUAAGUAGAAACCUGCAUAGGCUCAAGUAAAGAGUCAGAACAGAGACGACAUGCAUGUGACCGAGACCGAGAAUGAGGAUUAGAUAGAGGAACUGUGGACAAUGGGGUGGUAGAUAAUGGUGGGUCAUGGGCUUGCAUGGGCUCACUAAAACUGGAUAAAUCUAAGGAUGCAGGAGAUUGUGCGAUAGAGUUAGGUAUUAAAGGGAAAUUCAAUUCAUCAAAUUUGGCAUGGGGCGUGACAUAGAUCUUGGAGGUAAGAGGGUUUAGACAACGAUAACCUUUAUAAGAAGGACUGUAACCCAAGAAUAUACAUGGAAUGCUGCGUGGAGAAAAUUUGUUAGCAGCAUAAUCACGUAAACAGGGAUAGACUCUGCAACCAAAAGGAUGAAAAUUGAUGUAAAGAGGAGCUUUACCAUGUAGAAUCUCAAAGGGAGAAAGACCUCCAAGAAGUUGGGUAGGCAACCGAUUGAUGAUACAAGUCGCUGUACUAAAAGCGUCAACCCAAUAAUAAGUGGGUACUCGUGAAUGAAAUAAGAGUGCAAGACCCAUUUCAGUCACAUGGCGAUGCGUGCGCUCAGCGCGUCCAUUUUGAGAAGGAGUGUAGGGGCAAGACUUUUGGUGUUGAAUACCGGAGGAGUGGAGCUGAGAUUGAAAACAAUUACUACAAAACUCAGCACCACCAUCACUCUGAGAAAUUUUAAUUUUGCAAGAAUAUUGAUUUUCCACAAAGAUCUGAUAUUGAAGAAAAAUAUCAAUAAAAUAAGAUUUAAAUUUCAUGGGGUAGAGCCAUGUAAAGCGAGAGUGAUCAUCGAUAAAUAUCACGUAAUAUGCAAAACUCAUUUUUGAUUUAAUAGGAGCUGGGCCCCUGAUGUCACAGUGAAUAAGACCUAAAAUAGAGUUGGAUCGAGUAUUAUUAGUAGAAAACGGAAGCUUAUGACUUUUUGCAAUUUGACAUGUAGCACAAAUAACAGGAUUAGGCAAAAUAAAAGUAAGGGAUAAAUGUCCUUUUUUAUUCAAUAAAGAAAUAAUAGAGUGGUUAACAUGACCAAGACGCGCAUGCCAUAGAUCAUACGACGCUGUAAGGACAGAUUUAUUUAGGACAGAAAUGAAAGCAGUAUUGCCUCGCUUUAGUAUGUAAAGACUGUCAUCACAUAUUCCGAUUGCCACCACUGUUCUUGUGAUCUUGUUCUGAAUAAUAAAAGAAGAGUCAUUAAAUGUGACCAGGAGAGGAAAGUCUUUAGUCACUUUACUAAUGGACAAGAGAUUUUUUGUGUGAGAUGUGGUACCAAUAAAACAUCAAGCAAUUUUAAAUUUGGAGAGGGUUGAGAGGUACCUGUAUGGGUGAUGGGAAGAGGAGCCCCAUUUCCCACAAUAACCUUAUCCUUACCAAAAUAUUGCUCGGAGGUGGUCAGUGCAGUCGAAUCUGGCGUCAUGUGAGCGGAGGCACCGAUGUCAAGGUACCAAUCUGAGGUGCAGCCAGGAAAGGUUUCAGCAAUGUGUGCUGAUGGCUCUGCACGAUCAUAUCGAUCCUGACAUCGAUUAGUAGUGUGGCCCUCUGUUUUGCAGAUUUGGCAGUGUGGGUUAUAAGAGCGACGAGAUCUAUUAUUCCCUGAAUGACCAUCGAAGUUGCUAGAGGAGGGCCCAUUUGUGUUGCCAUGUGAGCCACCUCUGUGGUGACGAUUUCCUGUGGAACGAAAAUGUCCACCACGAAAGUGUCCUAUGUUCAUUGUGGCUGUGAACGCUGUAGAAGAGAGGGUGUGAGUUUCAAGUGAUUUUUGAAAUAAACCAAAACUUUCAACUAGAGGGACCAAAUCAUGAAAUGAAGGUAGAGGUGUAAGAGCCAUAUGUGUGGAGGAGAAGGCAGCAAACUCAAUGCCAAGAGCACGGAGAAACUAAUGAGAUUUGUCAACUUCAUCAAUUGGUCGUCCGAUGGCCACUAAUUGAUCACAAAGGCCUUUAAAUGCACAGACAAAGUCAGCAAUUGAGCGGUUUCCUUUCUUCAUGAGUUGAAGUUCAUCCUUUAGGCGAAUCUCCCAAGUUUUAGAUCUAUGGCUGAACACACGUUCAAGAACAACCCAGACAUCCCGAGAGGUUGCAAGGCCAACAGCAGCUGCCAUGGCUUCUUCUGUGAGAGAUGACAACAAUAGACUUAAGAUCCGUUGGUCUUUGAGUUUCCAUUCAAGGAAUUCGGGGUUGACAGUAGAGGUACCGUCUGUGGUGGUAAUUGUUUCGUUUGAUUGUUAAAGAGAACCAUCAAUGAAACCAAUGCAGCCUUGGCAUUGAAGGAAAAGAAUGAGCUGACUUUUCCAGAGCAAAAAAUUUAUGGCUGAGAGCUUAAUGGUGAUCAUGUGAACCAUGGUAUUGAAGGAGAGGGGCUCUGCCAUGAGGAAGAAGGGAGGAAGAUUUGUUUUGGAAUUUAACCUAGAAGAGCUCUGAUACCAUGAAAAAGUUUUGAGAAAACCACACUCACUGAGGUGGAGAUUGUGUUUAUUUAUAUAGAGAAUGUAUACAUGUGUAGCUGGAAUACUAAGAAGGAAAGAAUCAUAACAUAAAUACAAUAUUCCUAUAAUUAUGAGCUAAGAAUCAGGAGGGGAUUCUGGAGAAUCCCCAACAAACCGAACAAGGAGAUGACGAGUGGGGUGUGCAUUUAAUGCACAAUCAUUGCCCACCCAUUAACCAAUCCAAAAAAGGUUCAUUAAAUCUUGCAAAGAAGCUCAAUCUUAUGUCAAGAUAGUUGAGAAUAAUAGAAUGACUUAGGUUGUGUCUUAGCCAACCUUUCCUAUUUAUAUAUAUAUAUGUGGCAGUACACGGUAGUGACCAUAGGGAUAACAACAUUGGAAUAACCCUACAUUAAUUCCUAUACAUAUAUAUAUACAUGCUAUACAUUCUAUAAUAUGCCCCCUCAAGUUGAGGGUGGAGGAUCGACCCGAAGCUUGUAAUGGAAAGCAGUAAAGGAAGUAGCAGAAAGUGGCUUGGUGAAGACAUUUGCAAGUUGAUCCUGAGAGGGGAUAAAGCGAAUAUGAAUUUCUUUCUUCGCAACUUGGUCUCGGACAAAACGAUAAUCCACCUCAACAUGUUUAGUACAAGCAUGGAAAAUAGGAUUUGCAGAGAGAUAGGUGGCACCAAGAUUAUCACACCAAAUAGUAGGAGCAGAGACGGAGGGAACCUGCAAAUCUGUUAACAAAUAUUGAAGCCAGAUGACCUCAGUAGUGCCGUCUGCUAAGGCUUUACACUCAGCCUCAGUAAAUGAGCGAGCAACUGUGCGUUGCUUACCUGACUUUCAUGAGAUCGUCGUCUGACAAAAAAAAAAAAGGUAACCACCUAUAGACUUGCGAUCAUCAAUACUACUAGUACAAUCUGUAUCUGUAAAACCAUGUAGAGCAAAAGAGGAACCUCGAGUGAUAUGGAAACCAUAAGAUGUCGUACCUUUAAGGAAGCGUAGAAUGCGUUUAACGACGACCCAAUGAGAAUCUGUAGAAGCAUACAUAAACUGAUACUCUGUUAACAACAAAGUAGAUAUCUGGUCGGGUGAAGGCAAGGUACUAAAGAGCACCCAUGAUUUGAAGAAAUCGUGUAGGAUUAGAGAAUGGAUUAUCCGGCAGUAUAAUAACUUUUGAAGGAGAAACUAGAGUAUCAACGGGUUUGCAGGAAGUCAUACUAGCCCGAGUGAGGAUGUCAAGAAUAUAUUUGUGCUGGCACAACAUCAAACCCAUACCUGUAGAGUGAACUUCAAUACCCAAAAAGUAGUGAACCACGCCUAAGUCACGGAGCUUGAACUCAGAACUCAGUAACUAUAUUAGGCGAUGAAGCAUAGUAGAGUUUCUACCCGUAAGCAGAAUAUCAUCAACAUACACCAGGAAAUAAAAGAUAUUAGUACCAUCAGAUAAAAUAAAUAGGGAGGUGUCAACCUUGGGGCAAAAAAACCAAUGGAAAGCAGAAAGUCACUCAGACGAGUGUACCAUACCCUCGGUACCUGUUUUAAACCAUACAAGGACUUGUGCAAUCUGUACACAUGAGAUGGAAGAGUAGAGUCAACAAAACCUGGAGGUUGUUUCAAGUAGACCUCUUCAGUAAGAACACCAUUGAGAAAUGCAUUAUAAAUAUCGAGCUGAUGAAUAUUCCAAUUGCGUGAAACCGCAAUGAAGAAGACUAAUCUGACGGUGGUCUGCUUAACAACUGGACUGAAGGUUUCAGAAUAAUCAAUGCCUUCCUGCUGGGUAAAGCCUCUAGCAACUAGACGGGUUUUAUAACGCUCAAUGCUGCCAUCAACACGACGUUUGAUCUGAUACACCCAUAUGUUGCCAAAAACAUUAAUCGAAGGAUGAAAGGGAACUCGAGACCAAGUGUGAUUAGAAUGCAACGCCUUGAUCUCAUCACAUAUAGCAUCAUGCCAAACGGCAUACCUGUCAGCAUCAGAGAAGGCAAGAGGUUCAGAGAAAGGAGAGAGUAGUACCCGGGUGGAAGCUGUAUCAGCGGCAGUAGAAGCCACCAGAUUUGCUGUCUUUGGUUGCCGCAACCUAAGGACCAUAGGAUGGUGGCUGAUUAGGGGAGGUGAUGCAGGAGAAGAUGGUGGCAAGGAGGUGUCUUGGUGCAGCGGAUAAGAGGAGAAAUCAACCACCAGAUUCAGACCAGCUGAAGAGGCUGUAAGAGAAUCUGCAGCAAGCAGAGAGCUAGCAGCAGCAAUAGGGAUGUCAAUAGAGGCAGACCCUGUAGCAGCCUGGACACUGGCCAAAUAAGGAUAAGCAGAGGAGGAACCAGAGGGCGUCCCAACACCAGCGAGGCGUCAUGCUGGAGGGUAGGGGGCCUGAUUUGCAACCUGUACUUGCAGCAAAAUGGUUAGAUAAACAUGCAUGUGAUGAUGGGCAAGGGAAGGGUGGAGGCUGUGGUGUUUUGGUAGUGGGUGGUGGCAGAGCAGAGGUAGAGGAGGGAUGGUGAGGUGUUGUAUGGGUGGUGAACGAUGGGGAAUGGAUCAGAUUUGGGAGGAGGGCAAUGGCAGGUUGGGUAGGGGUUGUAGUCGAAACCUUUACAAUCUGUUUAGAAUUAUCAAACAGAAACACUUGUUCAUGAAAACAGACAUGACAAGAGAUAUAAAUGCGUUGAGAUGAAAUGUCAAAACAACGAUAACCAAGAUGAGAGGAGCUGCAAUAAAAAAACACACAUGGAGAGGAACGAAAAUUCAAUUUAUGAUUGUUAUAGGGACGCAAAAAAGGAAAGCAGAGACAUCUAAAAAUAUGCAAAAAACUGAUAAUCAAUAAACCGUUGAAACAAACAAUCAAACGGGAAUCGAUUUGCAAGAACAAUAGUAGGCAUGCGAUUUAUGAGAUUGAUCGAAGUGUCAAAAGCAUAAUUCCAAAACCGAAAUGGUGCUUUACAUUGUCCUAGAAGAGUAAGGCCGAUUUCCAUAAUAUGUCUAUAACAACGUUCUACUGUGCUAUAAUAUAAUGAUUAAGUUCCUAUAUUAACAAUAAAAAAAGUCAGAUAGGCUUCUGGUUUAGGCCUUUAUAUCUUGUUUAGAAUUUUUUUUUAUGCGAUAUUUUUUUUAUGCUUACCCUUUUAUACAAAAAAAAAAAAAUAUAAAAAACAUUAUAAAAGAUUGAAAAAACAAAAAAGUGGUUGUGUAUGUGCAUAUAACCGCAUCCUAAAUAAGAAUGUUUGUGCAUUUUUAACAAAAUAAAAUAAAAUAAAUAAAAUGAUUUUUUAUAAGUUUUAAAAAUAUCAAAAAUAGAUUUGUGUUCUCUUAUAUUUGUGGAUUUGCCAUAAUCAUUAUUAGAUUUACUAACAAAAUUAUUACGGGUAAAGUUUUUUUGUUUGACAUUAGAACUUAUUCGAUAAAUCAGCCCAUAAUUAUAUUAUCAAUGAAAUAAAAAUUAUCAAUGAUAUGUUUUUUUUAUGAUAAUUUUUAUUUGGUAUUUUAACAAUAAUUGUACGACGGAUAGAUUCAGGCUUUGAAAACCAACAAAUCAAGCUUUAAAUCUAUCAGUAUAUUAAUUAAUUGUAUAUUAUCCUUAUAUUAGAGCUACGACGUCUUGCUACACUGGAUCACCCAUCCAAAAUCAUAAAAAUGGCUAUGGAAUGUAAUAUUUUUAUUAUUAUUUUUUAAGAGAAUUUUUAUUCAUUGGCUGUGUACGCAUAAUUAUAAGUGGCGUUUAUCAAUCACAUAUAGAGCGAUAAGAUGGCGGGGGCCACAUAUUAGGAUCUUUAUAUUUUAACUUAUUAAAAUAUCUUGAAAAGACUUGUCUAGGGGUGAACAGUAAUAAGAGUUUGGGAUCAAGAAAUUUGCUCAAUUUGUGGUCUCAGGUUCGAGUUUUGUGGUUGCUCAUAUGAUGGCCAUUGAAGACUUACAUGGUCGUUAACUUCAGGGCCUGUGAAAUUAGUUGAGGUGUACACAAGCUGGCCCGGACACCCACGUUAAAAAAAAAUAUAUCUUGGAACGAACUUAUCACCUGGAAACGAAAAUUGAGGUUGACAAACUUGGCAAUUACUGCUAUUUUAACAUCUUCAGGCCUGUCUUGUAUCCAAUGUCUUUUACCUGAGCAUCAACUCCACCUAAAUAAGAGGGCACAUGCAGCAUUUGCGCGGUUCAGCUUUUCUCAAACCUUAUUUUUCACCUUUGUCACUGCUUCAUUGCUCUUCUUGUUACGCUACGAUCACAACCAAAAUCAUAAUUCGAAAAAAAUAAAAAUAUAAAAUAUAAAGCGAUCAAUACAAAGGAGAAAGGGCCAUGGAAUUUGAGUUUUUUAUUAUUAUUUCUUAAGAGAAAUUUUAUUCAUUGUCUGUAUGCGCAUAAUCAUAAGUGGCGUUUAUCAAUCACUUAUAAGGUGUCGGGGCCCACACGAAACAAAAUCUAUUGGAGUAUGUGUCGGUAGGCCGUUCGUAAAAGUAGAUCAGUAUGAAUAUCUGUUAAGUAUAGAUUAUAUAUGUUGUAAAAAAUUAAUAAAAAAAGCUAUGUGGAUAUUUUCAAAAAAAAUAUUUGAGAUUUUAAUAUUUUAUAUGAAAAAAAUAAAGAAAUAAUCCAUGUGGAUAUAGACUAUACAUGUUGUAAAAAAUUAAGUUUAAAAGAUUAUCUCAAAAUGUUUUUUAUUUCACAUUGAAAAAAUACUAUCUUAUUCUUCUAAGUUGAAAUAUUUAAACAAUUUUUUUUAUCUCACAUUAAAAAAACACAACUUUUUUCUUGUGAACAUAGAGUAUAUAUACUAAAGGGUUUCAAAUCCCACAUUGAAAAAAUAAAACAUUCUUUUAGUAUUUAUACAAUGAACGGUGAAAUGAAUUAGUAACCAAUUGAAAAAUAUGAAAAAGAAAGGGUCUCUGGGUAGGCGAAAAAACACAUUUGAAAAAAAAAAGGUCUCUACUGGGUUUUUGCUAGGUCACCCGAGUUCCGGGUUGACCCGACAGGUCAAUCGGUUUUCUCCCGGCCAAUUGCAAGCCUGAAUUUUGACAAACUCGACCAACGCUAUUGGGUCUUGCUGACAACAGGGCCCAACGCUACUAAGUGCUAUUGGCAAGAGGGCCUAACUCUGUUGGGACUUGUUGGGCAGCAAGACCCGCUAUCAUUGGAUCUCGCUGUGGAGCCAGACCCAGCUGGGCCCAACGCUGCUAGGCAGCAGGGCCAACAUCAUUGGGUCAUACUUGGUAGAAGGACUCCACAGCGUUGGGUCCUGCUGGGAAGCAUGACCCACUAUCCUUAUAAUAUUACCAAAAAUAAUAUUAUAUUAUAAUAUUUAUGAAUUGUUUUUUAAUGGAUUUUAUUGUUAAAAAAAUCUCUUAUAUAAUACAAAUAUAUAAAGUAAAUGAUGUGAAUAAACAAUUUAUUUAGAGCUCCAUCAACUUUAAUAUGAUAAUAUUAGAAUUAGAAUUUUUUAUUUUAUUUUAAAGAGUUCAUUGCGAUUAUAUGUGAGACAUAUAUUAAGAAUAUGCACGUAUAAUUUUUUUUUUGCCACUAUUUAACUAUUUUUUAAAUAUUUAUAAAGUUUGUUAAAAUAUAUAAAUCAUUUAGUCUAAUCUAAAAAAAUCAAAGAUAACACACUACAAUUACCAAGAUUUUUUUUUUUAAAUAUUACUAAAUGAAUUCCCCUUUUAUGUCUAUUAAAUAUAACAUAAUCCUUCAAUUUCAAUAGGGGGGACAACUUUUCUCUUUUGUUUUCCCUUAUUUCUUUAGUUUUUUUUAUUGACAUAGAUUAUGCAUACACUACAUUUGCCAUCAUUAUUAAUGUGCUAACAUUUUUGAAACGCAAAAACAAACAUGUUUUAAUAAGAAAAUUCAACGCAACCUCAAAUAAACAAAAUAAUUAUCAUCACCCAACUUUUGUACAAUAUAAAAAAAGUCUCGUCAAUUUUUUUUACUGCAUGGAAAAAAAUUACAUAAGAGAAAAAGAAAAAAAAUUCAAGAGGAAAAAAAAAUAAAAAUCUUAAUUUGAAGUAAACAAAAAUAAAAAAAAUUUAAAUUUUUUUUAAAAGCAGUUUUGACAGGCAAAAACAAACAUGCUUUAAUAAGGAAAUUCAACCCAACCUCAAAUAAAAAAAAAUAUCACCACUUAAUUUUUGUACAAUAUAAAAAAAUUCCCAUCAAUUAUUUCUCUCUUUACCGUAUGAAAAAAUAUAAGAGAAAAGAAAAAAAAAGUCUUGGGUCCUUCUGGGGGCAGGACCCAAUGCUGAUGGGUCCUGCGUGGGGCAUGACCCAAAACCAUCUGAUGGGUCCUGCGACGAUAAUGGGUCCAGCAGGACCCAACACCAUUGGGUCUUGCGGCAACAACCCGUUUUGACUUACAAACAGCAAAGACAAUGCCCCCACAGGCGCUAUAGUGUCGUCUACAAUGCAAAUACUCUAUAUCUAUAAUGUCAUUUAUAGUGCAAUGAGUCUCUAUCCAUAGUAAAUGCACAAUAUUUUUAUAAUAAGUAACUAUAGUGGCAGAAAAAAGCAGAGUAGCUCUCGAAGCCUUAAAAGAAAAAAAUAGAGUACUAACUAAAAGCCGUGAAAGUCAACUAUGCAAAUCUACAAUUAACUACCUCUUGAUACAUAGUAUAUAUACAGUAGAAAUCCCAUAUAUUUUUUCGUGAAGAGUUUUUACAUGAAUUGAUAAUAAUGUUCCAUUAACUUUUGUUCCAUUUACUUUGGUUCCAUUGACGGUAGAGAGGACCUUUGGAUUAAUAACAACAAAUUGAAAAUGUUUGAGUGGAAAAUUAGGUGUACAAUUUAAUUAGGUGGAAAAUGUUUCUCAAAUUAAUGAUAAAAAAUAGUGUAUGUUAAAAUAUUAAGAAUAUCAUAAUAAAAAACAGGAUUAAUUUGAAACGAUUUCUAUGUGUCUAUUUUUCUCGAAAUGAAAAACAAUAUAGUAUAACAUAUUUUCCAGUUUCCUGGGUUGAAAAAAUGUUUUAAAACUUUAGAAAUGAACAUAAUUUUUGACUUUUUAUUGGAAAAAAACUUGAAAAACAAAACUGAAAAAGUAAAAGAAAAUUUAUUUUGUGAUACAGGCCCUUUGACUCCAAAUCUAGGUGAUUAUGUCAUUUAAAUAAAGGUUUAGAAAUUGAGUUUUGUUAUUCAAAAGAGACAAACUUUUAUCGGUAACAAGAUGAUAAAGUACAUGAGGAGAGAAAACAAAAUUAAAACUAAAAACAAUUGAUGCAACCAUACCAUAUUCUUUCCAUAGCAGCUCCUUCGACAGAGCCUCAUUCCCUCCCAACCCCUUGUUAAGCAGACACAUCAGCUGCAACAUUUGCUUCACGCAGAACAAGCACAAACUGAACUUUGAAAGAAGAGCUUAAAGAGAGUUGAAAUAGAGAAGAACUCAAGAGCAUAUUUCCAUGGCUGAGCCAUCCCACAACAAUUGAAGAAUCUGAUUCCACCACCAGAUUCUGAGCACAAAAGUAUUUUUUAAAGGAUUUAGCUUUUGAAGAAGAAAAUGUCUUUUUUAAAUUGAAGUCCCCAUUCCUUAUUUAUAAAUUUUUUUUAUGAAAAGGGUCUUUUUUUUUUAUUAACAACAUCAUUUUUUUUAAUAAAAAAUCAAAGUAAUUAAAAUAAAUAUCCGUAACAAUCUCAAUACUUUAAAUUGAGAAGGGAAAAAUUUAUUUCUUGGGAAAAAAAAUAUCAUUUUCUUAUUGUUUUUUUUCUUACAAAAACAUGUCGUUUUAUUAUGAGCAUAUUUUUCUAAAUAAUAACUUAUCCUAAUCUAAAGAGCAAGUUUCAAACAAAAAUAAAAAAUUCACGAGUUCAUGAUUUUUAUGUGUUUGUAUAAAAAAAUAAAACAAUAAUGAAUUCGUGAAAAGUAUAUAAACACGUAUUUCCUUACAAGGAAGUUUAAAAAGAAUAAAAAGCUUCAAAGCUACGUCUUUGUAAGAAAACUUCAUUCUUUUGCUGCUUUAUCUACACAGCAUCCUAUGCAAACAAAUGACAGUCUAAAACCAAGGAGUCUUUGCAAAAGUCUUAGCAUAAUGACAUAACUCAAUGAAUACCAACACAUAAAUCGACGGGAGCAACCUAAAAUCCUAGAUCAAAGCUAGCAGCACACAAACAGAAGUGGUCACCAGCUGAUCACCUAACAACAAUCAGAACACCCUUAAGAAUUCAAAACCUUACGGCACAAACUUUCACUGACAACUAAAUAAAAAGAGAGCAAGACUAGAAAUAACGCACCAAAAUUAAAAGAACAAGCGAAGAGCAACAUGGACUGUUCUACAAAGCUGCCCUGCACAAACUGGAUAGUUAAAGGAAAAUACAAACUAAAAUGGGUAGUUUUAUUAAAAUCUAAAAUAUGAUACACAUAGCUAUGUUUAUUCAGCCUAGCAUCCAGUUUCUUUUCACUUUCUGUCAUUUUUUAAGAUUGUGUUUUUUUGCCUGUAAUCAUGGUGGUCAAUCAAAGGAAAACAUAAAAUAGUUAACGAAACUAUGAAAUGCUGUAAAAAUUCCUCUGUGUUAUUAUUUUUUCGUGACAUCAAAGAUAACCAAUCCAAGAUGAAAACAAUUCCAAGCCCCUGCAAGAAACACAAAAUCCACACAGAAACCGGGCAAAGAGAUGUCAAGUGGGGUGUGCAUUUAAUGCACAAUCAUUGUACACCCAUUAACCAAUCCAAAAAAAGCUCAUUAAAUCAAUCUUAUGUCAAGAUGGUUGAAAAUAAUAGAAUGGCUCAGGUUGUGUCUUAGCCAAUCUUUUCUAUUUAUAUAUAUGUGGCAGUACACGACAGUGAUCAUAGGGAUAACAACAUUGGAAUAACCCUACAUUAAUUCCUAUACAUAUAUAUACAUGCUAUACAUUCUAUAAUAUGCCCCCUCAAGUUGAGGGUGGAGGAUCGACCCGAAACUUGUAACGGAAAACAGUAAAAGAAGUAGCAGAAAGUGUUUCUAUUUAUAUAUAUGUGGCAGUACACGACAGUGAUAAUAGGGAUAACAACAUUGGAAUAACCCUACAUUAAUUCCUAUACAUAUAUAUACAUGCUAUACAUUCUAUAAUAUGCCCCCUCAAGUUGAGGGUGGAGGAUCGACCCGAAACUUGUAACGGAAAACAGUAAAAGAAGUAGCAGAAAGUGGGUUGGUGAAGACAUCUGCAAGUUGAUCCUGAGAGGGGAUAAAGCGAAUAUGAAUUUCUUUCUUCGCAACUCGGUCUCGGACAAAACGAUAAUCCACCUCAACAUGUUUAGUACAAGCAUGGAAAAUAGGAUUUGCAGAGAGAUAGGUGGCACCAAGAUUAUCACACCAAAUAGUAGGAGCAGAGACGGAGGGAACCUGCAGAUCUGUUAACAAAUAUUGAAGCCAGAUGACCUCAGCAGUGCCGUCUGCUAAGGCUUUAUACUCAGCCUCAGUAAAUGAGCGAGCAACUGUGCGUUGCUUGCCUGACUUCCAUGAGAUCGGCGUCUAACAAAAAAAAAAACAAGGUAACCACCUAUAGACUUGCGAUCAUCAAUGCUACCAGCCCAAUCUGCAUCUGUAAAACCAUGUAGAGCAAAGGAGGAACCUCGAGUGAUAUGGAAACCAUAAGAUGCCGUACCUUUAAGGUAGCGUAGAAUGCGUUUAACGACGCCCAAUGAGAAUCUGUAGAAGCAUACAUAAACUAACAGACUCUGUUAAUAACAAAACAAAUAUCUGGUCAGGUGAAGGGAAGGUACUAAAGAGCACCCACGAUUUAAAGAAAUCAUGUGGGAUUAGAGAAUGAUUAUCCGGCAGUAUAGUAACUUUUGAAGGAGAAACUAGAGUAUCAACGAGUUUGCAGGAAGUCAUACCAGCCCGAGUGAGGAUGUCAAUAAUAUAUUUGUACUAGCACAACAUCAAACCCAUACCUGUAGAGUGAACUUCAAUACCCAAAAAGUAGUGAACCACGCCUAUGUCACGGAGCUUGAACUCAGAACUCAGUAACUAUAUUAGGCGAUGAAGCAUAGUAGAGUUUCUACUCGUAAGCAGAAUAUCAUCAACAUACACUAGGAAAUAAAAGAUAUUAGUACCAUCAGAUAAGAUAAAUAGGGAGGAGUCAACCUUGGGGCAACAAAACCAAUGGAGAGCAGAAAGUCACUCAGACGAGUGUACCAUACCCUCGGUACCUGUUUUAAACCAUACAAGGACUUGUGCAAUCUAUACACGUGAGAUGGAAGAGUAGAGUCAACAAAACCUGGAGGUUGUUUCAUGUAGACCUCUUCAGUGAGAACACCAUUGAGAAAUGCAUUAUAAAUAUCGUGCUAAUGAAUCUUCCAAUUGCGUGAAACCGCAAUGAAGAAGACUAAUCUGACGGUGGUCUGCUUAAUAACUGGACUGAGGGUUUCAGAAUAAUCAAUGCCUUCCUGCUGGGUAAAGCCUCUAGCAACUAGACGGGCUUUAUAACGCUCAAUGCUGCCAUCAACACGACGUUUGAUCCGAUACACCCAUAUGUUGCCAAAAACAUUAAUCGAAGGAUGAAAGGGAACUAGAGAUUAGAACGCAACACCUUGAUCUCAUCACACAUAGCAUCAUGCCAAAUGGCAUACCUGUCAGCAUUAGAGAAGGCAAGAGGUUGAGAGGAAGGAGGUGGAAGCUGUAUCAGCGACAGUAGAAGCCACCAGAUUUGCUGUCUUUGGCUGUCGCGACUUAAGGACCAUAGGAUGGUGGCUGAUCAGGGGCGGUGAUGCAAGAGAAGAUGGUGGCAAGGAGGUGUCCUGCUGCAGCAGAUAAGAGGAGAAAUCAACCACCAGAUUUAGACUAGCUGAAAAGGCUGUGAGAGAAUCUACUGCAAGGAGAGGGCUAGCAGCAACAACAGGGAUGUCAGUAGAGGUAGACCCUGUAACAGCCUGGACACUGGCCAAAUAAGAAGAAGCAGAGGACGAACCAGAGGGCGUCCCAACACCAGCAGAGGCGUCAUGCUGGAGGGUAGGGGAGACUGAUUUGCAACAUGUACCUGCAGCAGAAUGGUUAGAUAAACAUGGAUAUGAUGAUGGGCAAGGGAAGGGUGGAGGUUGUGGUGUUUUGGUAGUGGGUGGUGGCAGAGCAGAGGUAGAGGAGGGAUGGUGAGGUGCUGUAUGGGUGGUGAACGAUGGGGAAUGGAUCAGAUUUGGGAGGAGGGUAGUGGCAGGUUGGGUAGGGGUCGUAGCCGAAACCUUUACAAUCUGUUUAGAAUUAUCAAACAGAAACACAUAUUCAUGAAAACAGACAUGACAAGAGAUAUAAAUACAUUGAGAUGCAAUAUCAAAACAACGAUAACCAAGAUGAGAGGAGUUGUAACCAAAAAACACACAUGGAGAGGAAUGAAAAUCCAAUUUAUGAUUGUUAUAGGGACGCAAAAAAGGAAUGCAGAGACAUUUAAAAGUACAUAAAAAACUGAUAAUAAGGAGACCGUUGAAACAAACAAUCAAACGGGGAUCGAUUUGCAAGAACAAGAGUAGGCUUGCGAUUUAUGAGAUUGACCGAAGUGUUAAAAGCAUAAUUUCAAAACCGGAAUGGUGCUUUACAUUGUCCUAGAAGAGUAAGGCCGGUUUCUAUAAUAUGCCUAUGACGACGUUCUUUUGUACCAUUUUGUUCACGAGUGUGAGGACAAAUCAGAUGAUGAUGAAUACCAAUGGUCUGAAAGAAAAUGGAUAGUUUGUGAUAUUCACUGCCCCAAUUAAUUUGAAUAGAUUUUAUUUGUAAUGAAAAUUGACGCUCAACAAAAUUUUUAAACCGGUGGAAAACAGAGUAAACAUCAGUCUUGGCAAUAAGAGGAUAAUACCAUACAUAUUUUGUGUGCGCAUCAAUAAAGAUAACAAAAUAACGAUAGCCAUCCAAAGAAAAAAGAGGAGCAGGACCCCAUACAUCAUUAAAAAGUAAUUCAAGCGGAGCAGAAAUUUUGUGACCUAUAGGUCCUAAAGACAACGCGAUGAUUUUUCUAAUGGACAACUUUGACAUUGAAAAUUAAGAUGUUUGUUGUUACAAAUGAUCUUAUUUUUCAAGACUAACAAUUGAAAAAUACGAGAGGUAGGAUGACCUUGUUGACGGUGCCAUAAAUCAGCAGAAGCAGAAAUGCAGAGAGACCAAUAGGCUUGAGGAACUGAUGAGACGAAAGACCUGGACAAAGCAUAAAUACCAUCUUUACUCUAACCUGAGAGGAGUACUUCAUUGGUGUUGAGAUCCUUGGCAUAAAACAUAAAUGGAUGGAAUUCAAAAUAAACAUUGUUAUCGAGAUAAAAUUUA